UGGCGUAGAUACAGAAAAAAGAAGGCAGAGAGGCUGUUACGUGAAGCAGAAGAAAGGAUUCAAAAUUUGGAGAAUGAGGAAGGGUCCGCACCAAGCUUUGCAGCCAUUUUACAUGCAUCAAGGUUUGCAUCAACUGCAUUGCGCCACCUGCGAAGUGGUAAACGUACCAGAGUGCCACAGCCACAGAAAUUGCUACCCCUGAUGCCUCCGAAGCCUUCUGAGCCAGAUUUCACUGCUCUGAAAAACUAGUUUCUUAAGAAAAUUUACAGCAAAACUUGUUGUGAUUUCACUUUUGUGCAUAUUCAACAUGCAUGUCCUUAGCAAUUUUGUGAGCAUAUAUGUUAGUAGCAAGUGGUGUUAAGGAUUUCCUAUAUGACAACAUUCUGUGAAUAAUCUUAUUCUAAUUAGUUUACAUAUUCUAGUAUUUUCUUUGAUAAACUACUUGUGUUUUGUCUCCAUUCAUGAUAGUAGUACAUUCACAUCUUAAGAUGAUUAUAUAUUAUAUGUUUUAGAAGUGCAUUAUGGUUGUUUUCAGAAAUGAUUAUGUUAUAUGUUUUGUUAUGUUGACAUCUUGGUUAAAAUCAUGUUAAAUGUGUUUUUUUUAAAUUUUUUUUAUUAUAGUAUACUUUCCAUUACCUUUAUAGGUCUAAUUUAACAAUAAUAAAUUAAUUUGAACUAAAAUGAGUAUUAUUUUUUAAAUUUAAAUUAAGUACUAUUCUGAAUAAAUGAAUUUGAAUAUUUAAUGGUCAAACUAGUUGCUAAGAAAUUUUUUUAUAUUUUACAUCUUUCUUCUCUAAGUAAUAAAUUUAUUAUUUAUUUCAAUUCUAAAAUGAACACUACAAUAAAUUCAUUAAAUAAUAAUUAAAAUUAGAGACAAAAAUAAUUAGUCACUAUAUUAACUAAAUUAGAUACUAUUUUGCAUAGUGAUAUCUAACAUGAAAACUUUUAUCUAAAAAAAUAAAUUAGAUACUAUUUAGACACUAUUUUAUUUAAAGUAAUUUUAUUAAUAAAGUAAUUUUUAAAUUGCUAUCUAACCAUUAGCUACCAAUUUUAAAAAUAAUUUAUAAAUUUUUAUUAAUUAUAAAAAUUAUUUUAAAUAUUAAUAAUUUUUUUAGUAUUAAAAUAGUCUCUAAUUUAAUUCAAUAAUAACUAAUUAUUUUAGUAUUUAAAAUUAGUUACAAAUUAAUAAUAAUUUUCUUGUACUAAAAAUACGAAAUAUUUAAUCAUAUUUAUAUAAGUAAAUGAUGACAUUUCCUUAAAACUAUGAUGCAAGUUAAUAAAGACACGUUAUCUUAUACAAUUCCGUCAUUUAUGUUUACUAAUUAGUUAAGACAUGCAUGCAUUUUAUUUUAAAAAUUCUUAUCCAAGUCUAAAUAUUAAACCAAAUCCACAUUUUGUAAAAAAAAUAAUUUGGAUUUUAUAGAUUUAAAUCUAAAGAAUUGAAUUGUAUUACUCUAUUUUAAAUCCGUAUUUUUUUAAAAAUGUUUAAAUGUUUAUAUAGUUUGGUAUAUCCAAGUUUAAAAUUAUUCUCAACUUCAGUUUUUAUUAAAAAGUUUGUUGCCCUAGGUAAAUUAAAUUAUCAUAAUCUCCCUUUGCAUCUUUAGUAAUUAAAUUUGAGUAUAAAAAUUGGUAAAUUUUCUAUAAAUUUAAGAUUAUAACCAUUUCAAUAUAGUGUACUUUGCAUAUAUAUAAAUACUUAUUAAGAUUUUAAGUAUAUGCACAUAAAUUUAUCAUUAUAUUUACAGUGACAAUUUUGAUUAUCUUCAUCUAAAUCGCAUACAUUCUUUUCUUAGCUAUGUACUUUGUUCACCUUAAAACAACUAUUUUUUUUUUAAAUAUCAUUGUAACUAUAAAGAAUAGACAAGUAAGGAUGUUGGUCUAUAGUUAUUGCAAUGUUACAUAUUAUAUAUAUGUGACAUUAUCCUUAUAUAUGAGAAUUAAACUAAUUUAUACACACAUUAAAUUAAAUAAAAAUUAAUUUUAAAAAUUAAAAUAAUUAGUUAUUAUUUGACUAAAUUAAAAAAUAUUUUAUAGAUUAAAAAAGUUAUUCGUAUAAUGCAUAAAUUAUUUUAUAAAUUUUUAUUAAUAAUAGAAAUCAAUUUAGAUACCAAUAAUUUUUUAGUCUCUAAACAUCUAAUUUAGUCAAUACAGUAACUAAUUAUUUUUGCUCUCUAAAUUUGAUGUUAUUUAAUGAUUUUCUUUAUGGUGUGUAUGGAUUAAGAGGAGAAGAUUUGAGAAAAUAGACUUUGAGUGCUUUGAGAGGAAAAUAAGGUUGUUUGAAUUAAGGUAUGUAUAAUGGAUUUAUGAGAAAAAUUUAUUGGAGUUUGCGAGUGAUAUGAUGGUUUUAAAAAGUUUAUAACUUUACUCUUAUCUUUAAAAAAAAUAUUUGAAUAAUAAAAUAUGAGGUAUUUCUUGUUUAAAUUUGAAUUAAUUAAAAUUUUAUACAUUAUUUUCAAUACGAUUGAAUAAUUAUUUUUGAAAAAAAUAUGAACUACUUAUUAUUGUUGGAAAUUAAAAAAUUUCAUUAUAAAUUAAAAUAUAAUUAAAAAUUAUAAAAAAUUGUUUAAAAAUAAUUUUAUAUAAUAAAUAUAAUUAAUUAUUUUUUAAUUAAUAAAUAUAUUAAUUAAAAAAAAUACAUAUUUAUAUAAAAUCUAUUUAAAAAUAUUAUUAAUCAAAUAUUUCAUUUAAAAAAAGUAUAAAUUAUCUAAUUAUAAAAAAUACAUUUUAAUAAAAAUAAAUAAUAUUCAAAUAUUUAAAAUUAUUUCUAUAUUAAAUAAUAUUAUUAUUUUUAUAUAGUUAAUACUAUUAUUAUAUAAAUUAUCUUUUAUUAUAAAUAAUUAUAUUUAUUAUUAUUAUUAUUUUACCAUUGUAAUUAUUAUUAAUAUUAUUAAAUAUUUUUAUAACAUAAAUUUAUUUAGUAUUUUAUUUUUUAAAUAUUAUAGUUUUGAUUUAUUUACAUGGAUUCUUUCAAAAGUUUAAGAUAAUUUGAUUAAUUAGGAUAAAGAAAUUUUUGGACACAUAGGAAGAUAAAGAAAACCUAUGCAUUUGGGCACUCACAAACAAGCAAAAUGUACAUAAUUUCUUUUUAAUCUCCCAUAAUCAUGUGCCCAAUCAAAAACUGAAAAUGUUGUCGCUUCCUUCCCAUUAUCCCUUUCCACUAUCACCAAGGGGAACAAGAUCAAGAAAAAAGCAUAUUGACACCAAAUCUUUAACUCCAAUGAUUACUUUAGUAUCAGCCUCCAAUUCUUGAAGAAGUUCUAUUUUUCACUAAGUUAUUUAAGAUAAUCUUGAACCUUAGUUUUUCUAAUAAAAUAUUAUUUAUAAUAAAAUAAUGUUUUUUUUUUCUAGUUUCUUUGGUGCACCCUAGUAGUUUUGUCUUUCAAAAAUGUUUUUUUGACAUUUAUAAAAAAUAACAUUCAUUUAACAAUUCAUCUUAAAAUAUAAUAAUGUAUAUUAGAAUUUUAAAUUAAAAAAAAAACAAAUAUUAUUAAAAUAUUAUUAUUUAAGAGUGUAAAGUGAGUGAGUGCUUUUUAUUUUGAGGGUGUUAAAAUAAUCACAAAAAUAAAAUAAAAGAUGACAAAAGUUGUUCCUUAAUGGCAAAAAAUUACUCAGAAAGUCAAAUAAGAUCUUAUCAUGUUUCUAAAAAAUUUUAAAAUUGACACCAAUACAAAAUUUUAGUGAGAAAAAUGAAAAGGAUAACUUAACUUAACAAAGGGAUUAGAGGUUUUUUUUUAUCACUAGUGUGCAUAGAAUUACACAAAAUACUCUUAUUUUAUUUGUGUAUUUUUUAUCAGAUCAAUUUUUAUAAUUCAACUAUAAUUCUAUUUAAUUUAUCCUUGCCAAUAAAAAUAAAAUAAAUCAAUAAUUUAUUAUAACCCAGUUGGUUAAAAAAUGAUUGUCACUAGUUUAUAGUAAAAUAAACAAAUCAGAAAAUGAAAUAAAAACAAUAUUCAACUAAAGAAAAUAUAAAUAUCAUAAAGUUUUAUUUAUAUAUAAAACUCACCACUUAUUAAUUGUGAUAUGUUGUUAUUAAUUGUGAUAUGUUGUAAAUAAAUAUGAACCUUCUCGAAUCAUUUUCUUAAGAGAUCAUGAGAGUCAAUGUCAUGAAAAAUAUUCUUCUUUGAGUGGUGUUGACAUGGGAUGCAAUAGUAUGCAAUAAUACAGAUGUACUUGAGAAACAAAUAAAUUAAUAUUUUAAUCAUAUUAUUAUAUUAUUUUAAUAUUAUAAUGGUUUGUGAAUUGUAUGAAUUUUACUUUUUUGGUGUGAACAAAAUUUUCCUUUUCUUUCUUUCUUUUUUCUUUUUUCUUUUUUCUCUUUUCUCUUUCACUUGACACUGCUUAUUAAGGAAGUAAGGCUAUGUCUUGAAAACAUUCAUCCACACAGUCUGUCAACUCACACAUUGACACUAUAAAUUAGGGCACUUCCUGCAAAGCUUAAACAUAUUACCAUCCUUAAAGAAACAUUUGAGAAGUGUAGAAAUGAGUGGGAGAGACAACAAGAGGGUUUGUUCUUGUUCUUGUUCAUGUUCAUGUUCAGAGAAGAAGAACAAAAGGGUGAUGAAGCAUGGGAAAAAGCCUCUUCCUGAUCUCAAUUACCCUCCUCCUCCUGAUGAACACCAUCAACAUUCAUCAUCAUCUUCUUCUCCCCCUCCUCCUCCCAAUUACGAUAAGGUUCCACACUUCUCUCGAUAAAUGCCAUGUUUUCAUCUUACUUAGAUUCCACUCAUUACUUAAUUAUAUCAGCUUCAGCUUCUGGGAGCUGCUCGUCAACACAGUCAUGCUGCUGCUGCUUCUUCUGGGAAGCCUAAGAUGGGAGAGAGUGAGAGUGAGAGUAGCUCUCACUGGAACAAGGAGAAGAAGAAGAAGGAUGAGCCAGCACAAUAACUCUGAGCCUGUCUCUAAAACUCUUUCAUUAUACAUAUGUUGUUUCAGUGAUUUGUGUUGUUGGUGUUGUGUGAUGUUGCAGUAGGCUAAGUUCUGUGUGUUAUAAUAAAUUACUGGAGCAAGGUUGAGAAAGUAUUAUUUUUCUUUGUGUGAUGUUGCAGUAGGCUAAGUUCUGUGUUGUAAUAAAUUACUGGAACAAGGUUGUGUAAGUAUUAUUUUUCUUUGGAAUCAACAAUGAUAUAAAAUAAAAGUAUCGUCUAUAAUUCUUAUUGCUUUUAUUUUUGAUCUGUUUACUUUUUUUUUUCUUGUUGCAUGGGAGUUACUUUCUGCAUCCCAUAACUCAAAACCAAACUCAUAUAUAAUUUGAAAAAUCAUUUUUUAUUAUUUUGAAAUUUUGAGGUCCUGACCAACAUAAAAGCAAAAGUUUAAAGUAAAAUUUUAUGCAAAUCCACACCUUUUGAAUAUGAUUCACAAAAGUAAAUUAACUUUAAGUAUAUGAAUUAAUGCAUAGUACCACAACAAAAUAAAUAUAUAAAGUUAGAAAAUAAAAUGAAUGAAUAUUCAUAAUAAGAUUUUCAUCAAGUCCAUCAUAUCUUUAAUUCUUUAAAUCACUAAAUUUUAUUAGUUUUUCUCUUAACUGGUUGCAAGACAAAUAACUUCACCCAUAUUCCUUAAAUUGAACCUCACUGUACUCCCAAGAGUUACAAAAUAUACUCUCAAAACACAUAAAUCUUGAAUUUGUUUUUACUUUCGGUUUUGCUUUGAAAAUAUGGUUUAGUAAACAAAUCAAAAAACAUAAGUCUCCCAAGAUCACAUAAAAGGAACAAGACAGAAAUUUUUAUCUUAUUAUCUUUAAUUAUUUCAUUAAAAGUGACAGUGACAGAAAUUAUCAUCUUAUUAUCUUUAGUUAUUUCAGAUAAUAAUAUUUUAAUAAAAUGAUGCUUUUUUAAGCGUCUUACCUACUUUAAUUCUUUCUUCAAGAAGACCUAUUUUCACAAAGUUAUUUCUGAUAAUCUUGAACCUUAUUUUUUUAUUAAAAUAUUAUAUUAUAAUAAACUAUUUUUUUUUAAAUUUCUUACCUAGUUCACUUCCUGAAUUUUAAGAAACAAAGUUUUGUUCUUUCUCGUAAAAUAUUAUAUUAUAAUAAAAACUAUGUUUUACUAAGUUUGAGAAUUAAUUUGAAAGAAAAUAACAAAAUGUUCACUAGUAGCCACAAUUGUUCACUAGAAGCCCCACUUGUUCACCUGAAAGAAAGUUGUGUGGCAAUUUUUUUUUUCUUUGAUGCACCUUCUUUAGUAAUUUUGUCUUUGAAAAAUGUUUCUUUGACAUUCUUUAAAAAAAUAGCAUUCAUCUAACAAUCAUUUUAAGAUAUAUAUAUAAUAAUGUAUAUUCAGAUUUUAAAUUAAAAAAAAUAUUAUUAUUUAAGAGUGUAAAGUGAGUGUUUUUUUUAUUUUGAGGGUGUUAAACUAGUAAUCACCAAUAAUAAUUUAAAUAUUACAAUAUUAUUUAAUUAUAUUAUACUUUUUAAAUUACAUCACAACAAACAAAAUACCCCCAAUUAUUUUAUGAUAAAAAAAUAGCUCCAAGUAUUCAUUAACUUCAAGUACUAUUUGGAUAAAGAUUAGUUACUGAUUUCUUUAUAAUAUAGAUAUUAUAAUGUAAGAUGAAUUUUAUAUAAAAAUAGAUCCGUCUUCUUGUGAAUUAAAUAUUUUUAAGUAUAUAAUUUUUUUCAACAAUAAAAUAACACUGAAAGGUACACAAAAUCGAGAAAGAAAGUUUUAAAUUUAAAACAUAGUUGAUUAUCAUAAAAUACAUCAAUUACAUAAAUUAAUUAUGUUUAAAUCAUUGUUGAUUAUAUAUAAAUAUAAUUAAUUAUAUUUAAAUAAAUAUAAUAAAUUUUGAAUUUAAAAUUAUGAUAUAAUAAAUAAUUAAAUUAAAUAUUAUUAUAAUAAAAAUGACAAAUAUGCAGUAGGGCAACUUUUGUGUGUUAUAAUAAAUUCAUUAUUUUUAUAUAGAAUAAUGUUUGUUUAUAUAAUAUUUUUUAUAAAUUUUGUAAAUAAAAAGUCAACUUAUUUAAUGUCUUCAAAUUUUAAAUAUUCAUUUUAUUUUAUUUAAUGAGUUGGAAUUGAUGUAAGAAAAUUAUAGGUUGAUUCUCCCUGAACCUGAUCAUUCUCAUCAUUUCAAACUGGCACCCAAUUGUAGAUAGGAAAAGACUAAACUGUCCUUAAUGAAUUUUACAUUAGGUCGACUGAGAUAUGUGCACCCAAUGUAAUGAGAGACUUGCACCCAACCCGCAACCGCAGUGAGUCAUCUGCACCGAACCCACAGCCGCAGUGAGUCAUCUGCACCCAAGUCUUCCUCUUUGUUUUUGUAGUAAACCACAGCUCAACCGUCAACCACCUUCGUUCCGUUUGAUUUCGGCGGCAGAGCAGCAACCGCCACGACCAAUGACUUCACACUUUUUCUUUGAAGGAGCCCUUGAACGGAGAGGAACCCCAGAGCGAACGUCGGAGAAGACAAGGUAAGUGACUUCCGAAUAAUUUUAUUCAGAAUUAUAGUUUGUGUGUUCCGGAUAAAUUUAUGUGUAAUGAUAGUUUGUGGAUUCCAGAUAUUUUUGUUCGGAAGUCAUAUUUGACUUGUGAAUAUUUUUAUCCGGUAUUUGUUAUUGUUCUGCGGAAGACUUCGUCUGUAAGUUGUGUGAAUUUAUUCUGGAUAUUAAUAUUUGUAUUUGUGUUAGGUAGUUAGCGCAAUUCGCAAUAUAUUAUUUUUGGUUUGUUCUUUUAUAUUAUUUGUGUUCCAUUGUAAUUUUGGAUUGAAUGUUAUUUUUAUGAAAAGUAAGAUGGUGAGGACUAGAGGUGGAGGAAAUUCUAAUUUGGACCGUGUGCAACCAACUGCAUCAGUGAGAAGAAGAUGGGGUGAUCCUAGUACAUCAGUUUCAAAUGAACACUUAGAAGAUUAUAUUGAAGAAAAAGAACUUGAGAUUGAUGAUGAAGGCUAUCCAGGAGGGCCAGUGGAUAAGUCGUUACUAAUUAAUUAUGAACAUCAUGUAGCCAGACAGUUAUGGGAUUGUUUGGUAAGUAAUGAAAGUUAAUUUCUUGUAUUUGGUAUGUAUGUAUUUAUUGAUGAUAUAUGUUGAUUAUUGUAGGAUCGUGGUGAGCUGAAGGUCGUUUCACAUGGGAGGAAGAUAAAUAAGUUAAGAGCACCUCAUGAGUGCAUAGAGGCUGUUGUAGAAAUGUGUGGCUUAGGGGGUCUGCUUCAUGCUAGUUAUGAGAUUUUAGACCGAUGACUGUUGUGUGGUUUUGUAGAGAGGUGGCAUGCAGAGACUAACAACUUUCAUUUACUGGUUGGGGAGAUGAACAUCACUCUUGAUGAUGUGUCAAAUUUGUUGCAUUUACCCAUUGUCGGUCAAUUUUACAUGCAGGAAACCUUAGAGGCAGAUUCAGCAAUUAAUUUAUUGGUACAAGCUCUCCGUGUUGACCAUGGAGAUGCAUAUGAAGAAACAAGAUACUGCCAGGGAGCUCAUGUGCACCUGAGUUGGUUAAGAGAUGUGUACAAAGACGCAUGCUCAAGGAAGCAGUGGACUGUGGCUGCCAGAGCUUACUUACUUCACCUUGUCGGUUGCACUAUAUUCGCCGACAAGAGUGCUACAUCAGUUAAUGUGUUUUAUCUUGGAUUUUUUGUUUAUUUGAGGUUGACCGGGGGAUAUUCUUGGGCGGGAGCUGCAUUAACUCACAUGUAUGAGCAACUAGGAGAUUGUAGUUAUGCAAACACUAAGCAACUAGCUGGUUAUGCGACAUUGUUGCAGGGGUGGAUUUAUGAGCACUUCCCGUCUAUAGGGAUGAGACAUAUGCAACCACUGUAUUCUGAAGACCAACUUCGGUGUAGGAUGUAUGAUGCAGGAAAAGGUACUUCAAUUGUUGUUGUUCAAUCACAGUUAGAUACAUUGACACCAACUUCAAUUCGGUUUUGUCCAUAUGACGAGCAUAGGAAAGAACGUCCAUUCGAGUGGAUUUCCUUAUUCUUUGGUUAUUUGAGGCUUGGAAAUUGGACACAAUUGCACAUGUCAGAACGUGUUCUGCGUCAGUAUGAAUAUACACAGAUCAUCCCUCGCAACCCAUUUGUAGUUACACAUGGUGAUCCGGAUACAAAUGAAAUGGACUGUCAAUGAUUACAUUAUGUUGAUUAUGUCAUAAAUGAUAUGGCCAAAGCACCUUAUUCUGACGCUUGCGUUGAAGAGUACAUGUCUUGGUUUAGAUUUGUAUAACAUCCAUAUGUGAUUCAUGCGAAGGAUGAUGAGCGUGGCCACCGAGCACAUCCUGAGGAGUCACAUCCUGAACAUCCUGCUCUGGUAUGCUUGUAACUUUAUUAACGUAUUAAUUUGUGUUAUCUUUUUCUAAUACCAUGACAUUCAUGUUUGUAGGGUAUUUGUCGUAGAAUUACACAGACAUUGCAACCAUUAAUUAAUCAUGGUGAUGUCGUGGAGGGCAACCCUGUUUGGGAAGGCAUACAAGCAGCCAUUAUGUUAGCACGAGGAGUGACUGGUGAUAGAGUUGUAUAUGUUAGGAGACAUUCACGUAGGAAUGAUUGAUUGAGCACGUAUUAGGGAUAAUGUAUUAGGAUUCCUUUUUAUGUAAUAUUUUUAUCCAUGACGAUGUAUUUGAACCUUAUCUAUAUUAUUGAAUGUGGAUUUUAGUAUUUUAAAAAAUCAUGUACUGCUUUUAACUAUUAACACUUAUAUGUUCCGAAUAUUGACAUCCAUAGACACCUGAUUGACUUCCGGAUUUUUCCAUCCAUAGACACGUGUAUGACUUUUGGAUUUUUCCAUCCAUAAGCAGCUGUAUGACUUCUGAUUUUUUUUUAUCCAUAUGCACCAAUAUUGGGUUCCAGAUAAAUCCAUCCAUAUGCACCAAUAUUGGGUUACGGAUAAAUCCAUCCAUAGGCACCAAUAUGGGUUCCAGAUAAUUUCAUCCAUAAAAACAACAAUGUGUUCCGGAUAUUGUCAUCCGUAGGCACCAUUGUGUGUAUAGGAUACAUGCUUCAGCACGCAUAAAUGCAUCACAAAUGUAGUCAAUACAUAUAUUAAAACAUCCUAAAACAAAAACAUUAGUUAUCUAUUACAAAUAUUAAGAUUAGAAAUACUGUCUAAUGGACAUUAUUUGUGUAUAAACUUGCAUCCGGCUAGUGUAGUAUGUUGACCAAGAUUGGGCUGUAGGAUAACAAUGUGAUGCCCACAAUAUAUCUGUAGGUGGAAUAGGACAACCAGCUUUCAGCUUCACCUAUAAAAGUAAUAAAUAUAAGUUACAUAAGUUUUAAGUUAGCACUAUUAGUGACUUUACAUUUUUAUAUAUUUUGGGUAUACCUGGACAAAAUAAUUUUCAUGGACGUGCCCAAUUGCAAUGAUUCGGUGUUGAGUGAAGUUACUUGGUGGUUGGGUUCUUAAAGGAAAAAUAGUCAAUGAUUGUAUCAUGGACAAUGAAACCAAAAUAGCAUUGUACCGAUUAGCAAUAAUGUAUCACAUGUCUGGAAUUGUCAUCCACUUAUCUGUUCCUGCCUGCAAGUUCAAAUGAGGAACAAAGUUAAAUGGUGAAAUGCAAAGUACAAAUGAAAGGGUCUUAAUCAUUCGUACCAUAGACAUGUGGUCAACUAGAAGUGACUUCUUCAUGUAUUCAUAUCGUUCAUCACCACCAAACAGUUCAACAUAUUCUUGUCUCCAUUCACUUAGUUCUUUUAACAAAUUCAUUCGAACAACAACUCAUGACUCCUCUCCCAUGCCCAAUUUGGCAGCAACAACACGGUACCCACAAUGGUCAUCAACCUUAACGUCCACAACAUCAAGAAUGUAUGGAUGAUACCCUGCAGGGAGCUAAUCAAAGAAAGAAAUGGAUUUUGGUGGUAGAAUUUGUGGUGAGUGUCCUUCCAUAGAUUUUUUAGUCGGACAACUAUCCUCUUGCGAGUGUAAGAAAUCCACAUGUUCAAAAUAAGAAGGCAUUCGCUUAGUUGAUCUCAUAAAUUUUGUAGGACGAGUCAUCUUUACAGCACCUUUUGUUUUCACCUUAGCAUGUGGUGCGUUAAUAGAUGUCUUCUCUGGAAAGGCUAUCUCUUGCAAUUUAGAUUUGAUGUUAACCUUACCUAUAACAUCCAACUCUUUGAACCGCUUCACGAUCACCUCAAACUCUUUGUCAAUCAGAUGAACAUUGUUCACCUGCAAUAUCUUCAAAGCUUAAUCGAGUCCACAUGACAUGUACUAAUUUAAGUGGUAUGCUACCCACACCAAAUGAAGCCAAUUAACAUGCACACGGAAGACCAUGAGUACAUGUAAGAGUACAUCCACACCGAUUUUUAUCAAACCCCACUAAUUUGACCCUAUCAAGCUCUUCGGAAAUAAGGUUCAAAGCAUAUUUUGACACAAAACCUAACAAUUUUUUGUAAGCUGUAACCUUAAACCGAUGUCCCACCACAUGAAGACUCUUUUGGAAUGAAGCUUUGAUUGCAUUAUGUUGUAAAAUAAUCAUCUUAUUGAUCGAAUCCCAACAUAAACAUAAAUUCCCCAUAGAAUUUUGAAGAAUUCUCUUUAGGCUCUAGUGUGCCGCCUCAACCUUGUUACUUGUUGUGUUUCCUAAGUGCAUUACCUUAUCUGUCCAUGCCUUCACAAAUUUUUCUUUGUGUUGGACGUAACCAUGUAUUCAUCACAUAAUCAACAAAUAUAGGUCAUGGAGAAAAGACAACUUGAAGAGCAUAGACACGAUCUUCAAAGGCCUCAACAAUAUCACAAUCCACAACAAAUCCCCAAGCUUGCAUUACUUGAUCCCAGGCCUCCCUUGGAUGCACUAACAUUUUACAUUUUGCUUUCACAUUUUUAUCAAUGUGAAAUCGACAGGAAAAUUAUAAGCUUUAGGAAACACGAUUCUCACUGCAUUCAUUAAGGCAAUAUCUUUAUCACAUACUACCAGCCUAGGGUAUGAAUCAAUUCUCAAAAACAAUCAUUUAAGUCUAUCAAGGGCCCACAAAAAAUUGUUUUCCUUUUCUGCUGCUAGUAAAGAAAAUGCAACGGAAAAAGUCAAACCAGUUGAUGUAAUCCCAACAACCUCAAGUAAAGACAUUCUAUACUUGUUCGUUUUGACGUAUUAUCCAUCAAUAUGACAAUAUUAAACGAGUUCACUAGCUUUACUGAAUCCGGGUGUCUCCAAAAUAUAUCCUGCACAACAUUCGACACCUCUUCACACUUACACCAAUGCACGUACAUGUCUCGCUCCAAUAACAACAUGAACUGUUUCAUUUUUGUUCUCACAACCUUGUUGUGAUCUUCGGUGAACACACAUUGCAUUAUAAACUUGCUUUAUCGUUGUCACAUUCUUCUCAUUUCUCUCUUUCAUUGUUAGUAAAAUAUUUCUUGCCUUCACUGAAGUUUUAGUCAUAUCCUCCACCAUAACCUUUUCCUCAACACUUAACCUUCCAGCAUACGAAUGACCCACCGUUGUCUCUGCCAAAUCAUGAUUGUGAGAACCACAAAUUAAUUCAACCAUCCACCCUUGACCACCUUUGACUGGUUUGCCUCGCAAUCUGAAAGGACAUUCACACUUCCUACUUCCCGUUCCACUUCUAUCUACGUCAUUUUUAUACCGCCUGUAUUUACCUCCUUUCUCACAACCUAAUAAUCCGAAUGUCAUCCUUCCUCGUUGGCUCGUCCAUGUAUUUGACCUUAAUAUAACAAUAACAAACCCAUAACUAUAGCCAACACUUCUCGUCCACUCUAACAGUUCAUCUCGAUCACGAAAUACCUACAAUAACAUAUGCCAAAUUUUAAAAUCAUUCAUAAAUAAUAACAUUCAAAACCCUAGCAUUUACCUUACCUCAUUUGUAGUAAAUGCCUCACUACACUUAUGUGUUUUCAUUAUCUAACGCAUUGUAAGUUAUUGACUGCUCCAUAUCAACAUCGUCUAAUCCAUCCUACACAUCAAUCUCUCCUGAAAUUCCCAUGUAUGAGUCAUGUGUAUCCAUUCACAAUGCUGGAAUUUUUUUUUACUUAGCUUGCGGAUACAAAAAUCCAUAAGUCAAAACAUACACUUCCGCAUUCCCACAUCCAUAAAAUAGUAAACUAUUCCGGAUAUGGAUAUCCAUAAUUCAAAAAACAACUACGGAUAUUUAAAUCCAUAGUACAAAACGAAAUUCUGAAUAAUUAUAUCCGUAAUGCAGUGAUAUGGUGCAGAAAAUGUUACUGACUUACGGACGCUUGCAUCCGUAAGGUUAAAAGUAGACUUCUGGAUAUCAGUAUCCGUCACUACCUCUGCUCAAACAAAAUGCGGAAAAAAAAACUUAAAUGUCUUCUUACCUCACAACAAUGUUAAAGUGCAAACGACCCGUCCACCACCACCAAACCACCUCGUAUGCAACUCAAACCACCACCAAAGGAAAACCAACUUUCUCCACACCCUUCACAGUUUUUCAAAAUAAACCUUCAGAGCUUUUCAAACUAAAAAAGAUAAGGACAUACUUGGAUUUUGUAAACUUCGGAUCGAGGAAGUAAUUGCCAAAAUUAUAUUUAUGAAUCCCAAGAUAGGCCAACUUCCUUCAGUUUAUAUGGGAUUUAGUUCUAGGCCAAUUUUGGUUACUGAUAUCUCUCACAAAUCCUAUAGCUUUUAUUUUGGGCUAUUUGCUUUUUUUUUUCUUGUGAGUUACUUCUGCAUCCCAUAAUUUAAAACGAAACUCCUAUAUAAUUAAAAAAAUUAUUUUUCUCAUCUUAAAAUUAUAUUUUAUAAUGUACAAUCCAACAAUAUAAAAAAUAUAUUAUGAACUGUAUAUAUUAGAAUAUAUCAGGUGUAUUUUAGAUAUAAAUUUUGAAAUACAUCUUUUGUAUUUUAGUAUUUUAGAUUAUAAGUGAAUUUCGAAAUUAUAAUUCUAAAUAUAAAAAAAUUAUUCUAAAAUGUAUAAUUUAAAAUAUAUCAUUUUUAGAUUUUUUAAAUAUUUUGAUAUUUUUUUAAAAAUUAUUUUUGAACGUAAUUAAUUUAUUUUAAGAAGUCAUUUUUUGUAUUUUAAAUAUAAAUAAUUUGUUUAAUACAUAUUUCUUUUUAAUAGUAAUAAUAUUAGUAAACAUAAUAAAUGAUGAUAAUAUCUAAUAUAUUAUUAUCAAAUUUUCUAUAUAAUAUUAUUGUUAAAUUUAAAAUACAAAAUCUAUUUAACUAAAAAAAUUGUUUAAGUAGAAUCAUUAAAAAGUGGUAAAAGCACCAGAGUGCCACAGCCACAGAAAUUGCUAUCCCUGAUGCCUCCGAAGCUUUCUGAGCCAGAUUUCACUGCUAUGUAAAACUAGUUUCUUAAGAAAAUUUACAGCAAAAUUUGUUGUUAUUUCACUUCUAUGCAUAUUCAACAUGCAUGUCCUUAGCAAUUUUGUGAGCAUAUGUUAGUAGCAAGUAGUAUUAAGGAUUUCCUAUAUGACAUUAUGUGCAUAAUCUUAUUCUAAUCAGUUUACCUUGUGUUUUGUCUCUAUUCAUGAUAAUGGUAUAUUCACAUAUUAAGAUGAUAUAUUAUAUGUUUUAGAAGUGCAUUAUGGUUGUUUUGAGAAAAUAUUAUGUUCUAUGUUUUGUUAUGUUGACAAUCUUGGUUAGAGAGAUUUGGUGCCAUAGGAAUAAGGUUAUUUUUAAAGGAGGUGUGGUGGAUCAUUCAGAAAUCUUUACUUUGGCUCAAUUGAAGACUUGGUCCUGGGUAACUUCUAAAAUACCCUCUACUUGCUUUUCCUUCUCUGAUUGGUGUCUUGCACCCUUGUCUUUUUUGAAAUCGAUAUAAAUGGCUUGGUACAGUUUAGGGUGACAGGUUUAUUUAUUUUGUUGGAUGAUGGUGUCUAUGGGUUGUUGGGCUGGUGGCUAAGGUUUGUUGUUUUUUUCUCCUUGAUAUGUUCGUAGUGAGUUUGUACUAGGUUGAUAUUGUGCUAGUAUGGAGUUUUUAGUGGUAGAUUAAUAUAUGCUCUUUCUUUGUGCUGGUUUGGGUGGCUUGAGAAGCUGAAUUAUAUUGUAUAAGUAUGUAUAAGGUUGAAUCAUCCCUUAAGUUAUUCCUGUUAUUCAUUUCUUAUUGUUGAUAAAAAAAAUUGUUGAGAAUCUUGGUUAAAAUCAUGUUAAAUGUGAUUUUUUUAAUCUUUUUAUUAUAGUAUACUUUCCAUUACCUUUAUAUGUCUAAUUUAAUAGCAAUAAAUUAAUUAGAACUAAAAUGAGUAUUAUUGUUUACAAAUUUAAAUUAAGUACUAUUUUGAAUAAAUGAAUUUGAAUAUUUAAUGGUCAAACUAGUUGCUAAGAAAAAUAUUUUAUAUUCUACAUCUUUCUUCCCUGAGUAAUAAAUUUAUUAUUUAUUUCAAUUCCAAAGUGAAAUUUGAAAUAUUUAGUCAUAUUUAUAUAAAUAAAUUAUGACAUUUCCUUAAAACUAUGAUGCAAGUUAAUAAAGACACGUCAUUUAUGUUUACUAAUAAGUUAAGACAAGCAUGGAUUUGAUUUUGAAAUUUUUUAUCCAAGUCUAAAUAAUUGAAAUUGAAUAAAAUUCAAAAUGGAAUUGAUAUUAAACCAAAUCCAUAUUUUGUAAAAAAAACUAAUUUGGAGUACAAUGAAUAUUCUUACUUCCUUAAGGUUACAAUGAACAUUUGCACAUCUUCAAGUUACAACAAGUAUUCACAUCUUUCUAGGUUACACCUCCUUAACACCCCUUUAAGAUUAAAAAUUCUCAAGAAAACAAAGAAUACUCUCAAAAGAGAGCACAAACAAAGUUCACAAGUGUAUAACUUCACAUUGUGAAGAAUUACAAUGGUUUAGCCCUUAACCCAAUAAAUUAGACACUCUACCAGAUUGACUAAAGCUCACUGUAGCUCUUGUAUUUUCAGUGUGAUCACUUGUAUAGCUUUUAUUCCUCAACUUACCUUGCUUUUAUUAUUUACCUUCAAUCCCUUUAUAUAGCUUUUCAAAUUUGUCCUUUGAUAUUUGAAUUGGUUAAUUUUGAAUUUUGUAAUAUUUUCAUAGCUUCAUCUUUUUGGUGCUAGAUACUCAAAACAUAAAUCUUGAAUUUGCAAUCUUUUACUUUGUUUUUGCUUUGAAUUUGUUUAAGAAACUAAUUCAAAAGUAUUUGCAAUAUGGUUUAGUAAAAACAAAUCAAAACAUAAUUAUAAAAUAUUUUUGCUAAAAGGAGAGUACUUCAGAUCUUCAAUUUUUCAACUUUGUUUCCUUUUAAAAAAAAAUAUUUAGAGAUAUUCACAGCAUAUCACAACUAAUAAAACUUGUUUAAGCAAGAUAAUUUUGAAAGAUAUAAUAAAGAUAUUUUUCUUUCCUAAAAACAUGUUAAUAUCUUAUUCCACAAAAGUUGGAGAAUAAAAUCUUUUUGAUUACACUUCGACGAUCAAGUCAGUACAAAACUUAUAGACACAAUAAGUAAGUAAGUAGUUUCAGUCUUAGAAACAGUGUACAUUUACCUGGGAUCUCAAGUCCCCUUUAUAGACUACUUUUAGGUUACCUCUUGUAACAACCUUCUUUCACGAGAACCUUAUCUCGAGUGAAAGCACGUUUAAUCAUGGGAGAUUUUGUUACAAUGCGCACAAUCUUAAUACGACAACUGCACAAAAUCUUAUCUCUUUGGAGUGCAUAAAUCUUUAACAGAAUGGCCGCCAGGGUACCAACUCAUGUACCUGCAUUAGGGGUCCAAUCUGUAGGCGUACAAGUCUCUACGUACCAUGCAUGUAACGUAUUCCCUCCAAAACCCUAGUGCUUUGGACUUUGACGUUAUAGAGAAUGUUUUACUUGUACUAGACCCGAAUGUACUAAAUACACUCUUAAACCCAACAACGCUUUUCACUGGCCUAAGGUCUUAUAUGCGAAAGAUUAUACGAACAAAAAUCAAUACACACAUACCUAAAACUCACUCACGUUGUCAAAAAUAUGACUUAACAAUCAAGCUGACUUGUUUAACGUAGGUGCUGAUCUCCGACCAUGUUAAACUCGAUCAUCUGAUGAGUACAUAUAUAAAUUAUAUCAAUUACUAGUUGUAGUUGUUUUGUGUUGUAAAUAAACCUGAAACUUUUAAGUCAUUAACCUAUGGAGCCGUCUCCCGGAAUCGCAUGCAUGUCCUUUCAUUCAAAGGGACACUAACAAAAAUUAUUAUCUUAUUAUCUUUAGUUAUUUUUAUUGAAAGGGACAGUGACAGAAAUUAUUAUCUUAUUAUGUUUAGUUAUUUCUGAUAGCAUUGUCAUAAUCUUGAACCUCGUUUUUUUUAAGCGUCUUACUUCAAUUCUUGAAGAAGUUCUUAUUUUCACUGAUAAUCUUGAACCUUGUUUUUUCUAAUAAAAUAUUAUACUAUAAUAAAAUACUUUUUUUUUCUAAUUUCUUACCUAGAUCAGUUCCUGAAUUUUAAGAAACAAAGUUUUGAUCUUUCUCAUAAAAUAUUAUAUCAUAAAAAACUGUAUUUUAAUAAGUUUGAGAAUUAAUUUGAAAUAAAAUAACUAAAAUUGUCACCAGUAGCCACAAUUGUCAAAAGACCGACUUGAAAGAAAUUUAAGUGGCAAUUUUUUUUAUUUCCUUUAAUGCAUAGAGGUUUGUCUUUGAAAGAUGGUUCUUCUUCAAAUUCUUCAAACACGGGUGAUGAUAUCUUCACAUCAUAUAGCACUCACAGACACUCUUCAAUAAACGGGUGAUGAUAUCUUCACAUCGUAUAGCACCACUAACAGACGCUCUUCAAAAACGGGUGAUGAUAUCUUCACAUCAUAUAGCACCUAACAGACAUAACAGACAUAUAUUGAGAAAUAAAUAAAUUAAUAUUUUAAUGAUAUUUAAUUUAAUUUUAAUUUAAAAUAUUAUUAUAUUAUUGUAAUGGUUUGUCAACGUGUAUUUUACUUCUUGAACGUCAACAAAAUCUUUUUCUUAAAAAACUAAUAUUCAUUUAACAUUUAAAAUAUAAUGAUAUAUAUUAGAAUUUUAUAUUAAAAAUAAAAAAAUAUUAUUACAAUAUUAUUGUUUAAGAGUGUAAAGUGUGUGCUUUUUAUUUUGAGCGUGUUAAACUAAUAAUAAUAAAAAUGGCAAAAAUUGUUCCUUAAUUACUAAAAAAAAAAUUCUUUAACAUCACACCUAAUAAAAAAACAUACACUUAACACUACUAUUUGUCCAUAUAUGUCUGUUAGUGCUGCAUGAUGUGAAGAUAUCAUCACCCGUUAACAACAUCAUAGGAUUGCUGCCACAGGCAUACACAAAAGUCAAUGUCAGCAGAUACAUCCAAAGUUUCCUCACACCGAUUCAAGAUUUUUUCUGAGGAUCUUAACACGUUGAUAAUGUACCUAUAAAUAGAGCACUUCCUGCAAAGCUCUAAAAAUAUUACCAUCCCUAAAGAAACAUUUGGGGUUGAAUUAAGUGUAGAAAUGUGUGGGAGCGGCAAAAAGAGGGCUUGUUGUUGUUCUUGUUCAUGCUCAGAGAAGAAGAAGAAAAGGGUGAAGCAUGGAAAAAGGCCUCUUCCUGAUCUCAAUUACCCUCCUCCUUCUCCUGAGUCAUCAUCAUCAUCAUCAUCUUCUUCUUCUUCUCCUCCUCUUCCUCAUAAUUACAAUAAGGUUCGACACUUCUCUCUAUAAAUAUAUGCCAUGUUUUCAUUUUCAAUUACUUACUUAGAUUCUCCUCAUUACUUAUAAGUUACUAAGUGAAACUAAAUUAUAUCAGCUUCAGCUUCUGGGGGCUGCUCGUCAACACAGUCCUGCUGCUGCUGCCUCUCGGAAGCGUAAAAUGGAGGAGAGUGAGAGUGAGAGUAGCUCCCACUGGAUGAAAGCAUGCUGGAACAAGGUCAUGAAUUAUAUCAUAUCCAAUCCCAACAACCCCAACAAGAAGAAGAAGAAGGAUGAGCCAGCACAAUAACUCCAACUCCAAGCCUGUCUCUAAACUCUUUCAUUAUACAUGUUGUUUCAGUGAUCGUUUUGUUGUUUCGUUUGUUUGGUUGUUGUUGUGUGAUGUUGCAGUGGGCCAAGUUCUGUAUUAUAAUACAUUCAGUAUUUUUAUAUACGAAAAUGAUUAUGAUUAUUUGACAACGUGCGCCACUGUACAACUCUAUCAAAUAUUAAUAUUUUAAUUAUUUUUAAAAACAGGUGAUUUCUUUUAAUUUUUUUAACUUUUUCUUUGUAGUUUUCAUGUGUUUUUCUUCCUUUUUUUUACUUUUAUAUGCAGUUACACAUUUUACGGUGUUGAUUUUCUCCUGUGUUGUCUGUAUUUAAUUACACUUUUGACAUUUUAAUAUUAUUAAUAAUAUUAUUACUCUUUUUAUUAUUAUUAUUGAUAAUAAAUAUUAUAAUGAUAAUAAUAAUUUUAAUAUUAAUAAUAAUUACAAUAAUAUAAAUAAUAAUUAUUAUAAUAAUAUAAAUAAUUAUAAUUAUAAUAAUAUAAAUAAUAAUUAUUAUAAUAAUUAUUAUAAUAAUAUAAAUAAUAAUAAUUAUAAUACACUGCAAAAAAAGUUAAUAUAAUCUCCGUAAUUGGAUUUAAUUACCGAUAACCUCUCUUAAAUUCUAGAGAUUUAUUUUAAAUUUACUAAAAUAAUCUACAUUUAUUUAUUUUAAAUUUUAUUUUUUCUUUGUUUAUCACUUUCCUCCUCUCUUUCAGGUAAACCCUAAUUCUGUCGUUUCCUCUUCACUUUCCUCUCCCUCUAAUCCUUCCACGUUGUAACCAUUCGCUCCUCCUACCUUAACGCCAUCCUCCGCCUCCCGCUCCAACGCCACUACACUCUUUUGCUGCGCCGCUCCAUUCCGCAAUGCUAACAAGUCGCUCCAAUUGGAACUCCAUGCUCGAGAACACCAGUGUGUGUGAUUCCUUCAAGGUUGUUCUAAUUGGAGACUCUGAAAUUGGGAAAUCAAAUCUGCUCUUGCAAAAGAUGUAUUCCAGUUGGAUUCCAAACCCACAAUACGAGUGGAAUUUGCUUACCGGAACAUAAAGGUUGGAGAAAAACUGAUCAAAGCUCAAAUAUGGGACACUGCAGGCCAAGAGAGGUAAGGAACUCACUAUUCCUUCUUUUUCUUUUCUCCCUUCCAAUGGAUGACUCUUUGUUUUCUCUUCAAUUGGUCAUUGCUUUCAACUUUUUAAUUCUUUUUGGCUCUGUAAACUAUAAUAAAAUUACAGUUUUGUUAUUUGUGUGUGAUUUCAUAGUUUGCGUGGUAACUUAAGGCUCUUGAGAUGAAUUGAAUGCAUUGGUUAACUUUAAGUGGUAUUAUCAGGACAUUGCUUUAAGAAGUUAAUAAAUAUAAUUGUGUUCUUAAAUUGUAAAUUAUGUUCGUAACUAAAAGAGAGUGUAUCUAACGUAUUGAAUGUUUUUAUUCCUUUUAUUUUCUUGAUUUACUUUUUUAUUUCUCUUUCUACAGAUUUUGCAUCAGGAUUUCGUCAAGAUGGAGCUUCAGGAUUUCAUCAUUUAAUUAUAUUAAAGUUUUUCAUAAAUUAACAUUAUAUUUUGCCUAUAUAUAUAUAUAUUAAUGAAGCUUGGUUUCUUUUUGUUCUCUCUAGUUUUCUACCUGAUACUAGAACCUGGGAUCUUCAAAGUAGAAGCUGAUGACCAUGAUGAUGAGUUUGUGAAACUAAGAGGGGUGCAGCUUGUGUUGAAUGAGAGACCCUACUAUGCUAAUGGUUAUAAUGCCUAUUCGCUCAUGUACAUGGCCUCUGAUCCAUCUCAGAGAAACAAGGUCUCAUCUGCGUUUCAAGUAGCUGCGAACCAUGGACUUAGCAUAGCAAGAACAUGGGCUUUCAGUGAUGGUGGAGAUAGGCCCCUUCAAUACUGUCCUGGAUCAUACAAUGAGAACAUGUUCCUGGUCAGUUUUCAUCUCCAUUUUGCAGUCUCUAAUCUUUGAAUUUUUUUAGAGAUUGUGAUAUUGAACUAGAGUAAAGAUGUUAAUUAGUUGUUUAAUCUUUUAAAGCACUUAAUGAUCAUGUUAUGUUAUAUAUAUAGUCUAUUUUACCCUGGCAUUCCAUCACAGAUAAUCAUUGAAUUAAUAGUUAACACAAAUAUUGUAAUAAAAGUGAAAAAAGUUUAUGCAUAUAUAUGAUGGUUUGAUGAACUAUAAGCUAUUUUUUCUUAAUUUUUAUAAUUUGAUGAUGGUUAACAUUAGUUCUUCUGCCAAAUGCAUGCUUGCUAUAAUUGGUGUUCAGUUUUUUGCAGCAGUAAUAAUUAUAUUUUGGCUGUGUAAAUAAUGAAGGGACUGGACUUUGUAAUAUCAGAAGCCAGAAGGUAUGGGACCAAGUUGGUGUUGAGUUGGGUGAAUAACUAUAUAACUAUGAUAAUUCAUUUGGAUAUUUACAUGGGUGGUUGGUUUUUCUUCCUCCUAUGUUUCGGAUUGGGUUGUAUCUUUUUGGAACAUGAUGGUUUUAGCAAUUCCCAUAUUUUAUUCAACUAUUCAACUAAUAUAUAUUAUUUUGUUUUAAAAUUUCAUUUGUAUUUAUUUUCAAAUGGCGAGGGAGGAUAAGGAAUCACCUUCUCCUUCCCAAACAAUCGUAGAAUACACUACAAUAAAAUGACAUUAUGAACAUAUCCCUAGAUGAUAAUGUGACAUUUUUUGGUUAUUACACAGAACUUAGGAUUAUUCUUACAUUUAGUUUUGGUUCAGGUUCUAUUCCUUGCAAUGGAAGACAUGGGGUGCAUGUUUCAUACAAGCAGCAUGGCGUAGAUACAGAAAAAAGAAGGCAGAGAGGCUGUUACGCGAAGCAGAAGAAAGGAUUCAAAAUUUGGAGAAUGACGAAGGGUCCUCACCAAGAUUUGCAGCCACUGUAUUUUGUGAGCAUAUGUUAGUAGCAAGUGGUGUUAAGGAUUUCCUAUUUAACAAGAUUAUGUGAAUAAUCUUAUUCUAAUUAGUUUACAUAUUCUAGUAUUUUUUUUUAUAAACUACUUGUGUUUUGUCUCCAUUCAUGAUAGUAGUAUAUUCACAUCUUAAGAUGAUUAUAUAUUAUAUGUUUUAGAAGUGCAUUAUGGUUGUUUUGAUAAAAUGAUUAUGUUAUAUGUUUUGUUAUGUUGACAUCUUGGUUAAAAUCAUGUUAAAUAUGAUUUUUUUUAUCUUUUUAUUAUAGGUCUAAUUUAAUAAUAAUAAAUUAAUUUGAACUGAAAUGAGUAUUUGUUUACAAAUUUAAAUUAAGUACUAUUUUGAAUAAAUGAAUUUGAAUAUUUAAUGGUCAAACUAGUUGCUAAGAAAAUUAUUUUUUAUUCUGCAUCUUUCUUCCCUAAAUAAUAAAUUUAUUAUUUGUUUCAAUUCUAAGUGAAAUACGAAAUAUUUAGUCAUAUUUAUAUAAAUAAAUUAUGUCAUUUCCUUAAAACUAUGAUGCAAGUUAAUAAAAACACGUUAUCUUGAUUAUACAAUUUCGCCAUUUAUGUUUACUAAUUAGUUAAGACAUGCAUGGAUUUUAUUUUGAAAAUUCUUAUCCAAGUCUAAAUAAUUGAAAUUAAACCAAAUCCACAUUUUGUAAAAAAAAUAAUUUGGAUUUUAUAGAUUUAAGUCUAAAGAAUUGAAUUAUUUUAAAUCCAUAUUUUUUUUAAAAUAAAGUUUAAAUGUUUAUAGUUUGGUAUAUCCAAGUUUAAAAUAAGAUAUUCUUUUUCAUCUUCAGUUUUUAUGAAAUUUUUUGUUGCCAUAGGUAAAUUUAAUUAUCAUAAUCUCCCUUUGCAUCUUUAGUAAUUAAAUUUGAGUAUAAAAAUUGGUAAAUUGUCCAAAAUUUAAGAUUAUAACCAUUUCAAUAUAAUAUACUUUAUAUAUAUAUAAAUAUAUAUAUAUAUAUAUCACUUUUAAUAUUAUCUUCACCAAAAUUACAAAUAUAAAUUAAUUGAUAUAUCUUUCAAUAUGUAACAAAGAAAAAUAAACAAAGAAUCUAUAUAUACAUACUUAUAAUAAGUUUUAAGUAUAUGCACAUAAAUUUAUCAUUAUACUUACAAUGACAAUUUUGCUUACCUUCAUCUAAAUCGCUUACAUUCUUUUCUUAGCUAUGUACUUUGUUCACACUAAAACAACUAUUUUUAUAAAAAAAAUCAUUCUACCUAUAAACAAUAGACAAGUAAGGAUGUUGGUGUAUAGUUAUUGCAAUGUUACAUAUUAUAUUAUAUAUAUAUAUUAAAAUUUUAUACAUUAUUUUCAAUACUAUUGAAUAAAUAUUUUUGAAAAAAAUAUGAACUACUUAUUAUUGUUGGAAGAUACAAAAUUUCAUUAUAAAUUAAACUAUAAUUAAAAAUCAUAAAAAUUGUUUAAAAAUAAUUUUAUAUAAUAAAUAUAAUUAAUUAUUUUUUAAUUAAUAAAAAUAUAAUAUUAUAAUUAAUUAAAAAAUUAUAUAUUUAUAUAAAAUCUAUUUUAAAAUAUUAAAUCAAAUUUUUCGUUUAAAAAAAUAUAAACUAUCUAAUUAUAAAAAAUACAUUUUAAUAAAAAAAAAUAUUCAAAUAUUUAAAAUUAUUUCUAUAUUAAAUAAUAUUAUUACUUUUAUAUAGUUAAUAUUAUUAUUAUAUAAAGUAUCUUUUAUUAUAAAUAAUUAUAUUUAUUAUUAUUAUUGUAACACCCCAUAAUUUACAUAUAACUAUUACAAUACGAGUUUUACAUAUUUCCAUACAAGCUUAUAGUUUUUCAAAACAUUCCUAAUACGUGAUUAGGACAUAUAGAAAUACAAAUAUUUACAAUAUAAGUUUCAAAAUCAAUGCCGUAAAACUCUUCUGAUCCUCAGACACCUGUAAGAUCAUCUGCUCGUGUACGUAAUAUGAUAAUCGCAGUUCAAACACAGUAAGAAAAGCAAGGGUAAGCUAGUGAAAAUAGAAUUUCAUAAUAUACACAAUUAAGUCAAAAGAGAAAACCAAGUUACAUGAUCAAUUUCUCAAAUUAUACAAUCUUUUUCAAAUCCCUACAUUAAAACAAUCACAUAGAUCUCAUAUGGAUCUACACAUCAAGAUAUUCAACAAACAACGUCUUCUGGAAGACCCGUAUUAAGUAAGUCCUACCAGAGACUAACACCUGAUCCAAAGAUUACCAGCGAAUCCAACAGAAAGGAUCAGGGUAAGUUCAAUACAACCCAAGUCGUGCAUCUCAUAUGUCACGAUGUGCAUGAACUCCCCCAUCAGCUUCUCACCACUUGAUAUCUUAGUCUAUGUUACUUAGACCAUCAGUGAAGCUCGGAGAUAUCUGUUACCACAUAGGCAUCAAUACUUAAUACACAACAAACAUCAGUCCAUACAUUAUCCCAAAUGUAUGAAUUCAAUUCCAUACCAUUCCGUCAUACAAUAUCAUUAAAAAAAAGUGAUACACAAUAUUCAAAAGUCUAUUUGACAUAAAAAAAUAACACUUUAAUACUAAAUCAUCAAAGUAUAAUAUUUUUACAAAUUUAAAUAAUAUACAAACAAACAACCCAAUAUAUAAACACAUAACAUCCUGCAAGAAAAAUUGAAUAUUGGGACCACAUCCCUUCCGCAUUCAGAUCUUCUAUCCUAGGGUGCUUGCUAUUAAAAAUUAAAUUUAGCUUCUCUUACCUCAAUUGUUUGUUUUUCAAGCAACUUUUAGAAUUUUAUUCCCCACUGGAUAAACUUCAAGAUUUACGAGUUUAAUGCAAGUUAUCCAAACAUAACAAAAAUUCAGUAUAUAAUAGAAUAAGUUGAGAGGAUUAAACUUCUCAACUGACCCCACAAAGAUUGAUAACUAAAUCCUAAGGAAAAACAGAUAACAAAGGAUAUUUAGAGUAAAAAUGAACUUACUCUGUUUGAAAAUCUGAUCAAAUGUUCCUUAACUACUCUGCUACAGCGUGGUAUGAUCAGAUUCUAAAAUAGAUUAGGUAUGGAGUGAGAAAUUAAGAGAAAAGGUAGAAGGGAGAGAUGGAAGAAGAAAGAAGAAAGAAAAAGAAUGGUUUGGGGGUGAGUUUCUGUUUCUAAAAAAAACGGCGUUGUUACAAUUAUUAUUAUUAAAUAUUUUUAUAACAUAAAUUUAUUUAAUAUUUUAUUUUUUAAAUGUUUUAGUUUUGAUUUAUUUACAUGGAUUCUUUCAAAAAUUUCAAGGAUAAUUUGAUUAAUUAGGAUAAUCUAUCUAAAGAAAUAUUUGGACACAUACGAAGAUAAAGAAAAUCUAUGAUUUCGUCACUCACAAUCAUCCAUUUUAAUCUAAUCUGUGCAUUUCUUUCUUUUUGUACAGUAAGUAAUCAUCUGCUUUUUCUUUUAAUCUCCCAUAAUCAUGUUAUCCAUUCCCAUUAUGCAACCCAUAGUCACCCACUAUCACCAAAAACAAGAACAAAAAAACAUAUUGGGGACAAUGACAAAAUCUUUUUACUUCAAUCUUUAGUACCACCCUCAAUCCUUGAACAACUCCUAUUUUUCACUAAGUUAUUUCUGAUAAUUUUGAACCUUAUUUUUUCUAAUAAAAUAUUAUAUUAUAAUAAAAUAAUGUUUUUUUUUAUAGUUUCUUUGAUGCACCCUCUUUAGUAUUUUUUAUCAGAUAAAUUUUUAUAAUUCAACUAUAAUUCUAUUUAAUUUAUCCUUGCCAAUAAAAAUAAAAUAAAUCAAUAAUUUAUUAUAAUCCAGUUGGUUAAAAAAUUAUUGUCACUAGUUUAUAUAGUAAAAUAAACAAAUCAGAAAAUCAUAUAAAAAAAAUAUUCAACUAAAAAAAUAUAAAUAUCAUAAUGUUUUAUUUAUAUAUAAAUCACACCAAUUAUUAGUUAUGUGUUGUAAAUAAUAUGAAUCUUCUUAAGUCAAGAUCUUGAGAGUUGAUAUCAUGAAAAGUAUUCUUCUUUGAGUGGUGUUGACAUCAUACACAAUAAUACAGAGUUUGUGAAUAGUAUGUAUUUUACUUUUUUGGUGUGAACAAAAUUUUCCUUUUCCUUUUCUUUGUUCUCUUUCGCCACACUACUGGUUAAGGAAAACAUUCAUCCACAGUCUGUCAACUCACACAUUGAUACUAUAAAUUAGGGCACUUCCUGCAAAGCUUAAACAUAUUCAGAGAAGUGUAGAAAUGAGUGGGAGCGACAAAAAAAAGGGUUUGUUCUUGUUCAUGUUCAGAGAAGAAGAACAAAAGGGUGAUGAAGCAUGGGAAAAACCCUCUUCCUGAUCUCAAUUACCCUCCUCCUCCUCCUGAUGAACACCACCAACAUUCAUCAUCUUCUUCUUCUCCCCCUCCUCCUCCCAAUUACGAUAAGGUUCCACACUUCUCUCUAUAAUGUUUUCAUCUUAUUUAGAUUCCACUACUCAUUACUUAUAAGUUACUGAGUGAAACUAACUAAAUUAUAUCAGCUUCAGCUUCUGGGAGCUGCUCGUCAACACAGUCAUGCUGCUGCUUCUUCUGCGAAGCCUAAGAUGGGAGAGAGUGAGAGUGAGAGUAGCUCUCACUGGAACAAGGAGAAGAAGAAGAAGGAUGAGCCAGCACAAUAACCCUGAGCCUGUCUCUAAAACUCUUUCUGUUCCUGCUAGGGAGAUGGGACCUAGAGAACUAUUGAAGUCUUCUUCUCCUUCCUUCGGUCGGGCAGGUGGCUGGGUGAUGAACUGGGAUCCUUCUCGUCCUCCUGCUUAUCCUUCGGCACUCGGGACUCGGUCGUCGGGUGAACACCGGAUGGUGGGGGUACCUGCGAAGGCACUCCGACGCUCAAGUCAGUAAAGCGGGUGGUUAGCUCUCAGGUAGGUGAACAGUAAUAAUGACAUACCUUACUCCUUGAAAUGCGUGCUAUUUAUAUUAUUCUAGUGGGCCUACCUUGUUGGGCCCGUUUAUCGAGGUGGAUACCGCUUAGGGUUGCAUUACCUAAUUCUUGAUGAUGGAUUAGCUUCACUGAUCUCGGUUUGAGCAUUAAUUGUAAUGGGGUUUGGCCAUCGGCCAAAUUCCCGUGGCCUUCGGCCGUUUCAGUUGAGUCUUCAACGGUCUUGGUCGCACGGCCAAGUCUCCAAAAGGUCUCGGCCUCUCGGUCUCUCGGCCAAGUUUCCAAAAGGUCUCGGCCUCUCGGCCAAGCUUCCAAAGGUCUUGGCCACUCGGCCAAGUCUUCAAACGGUUGAGAUUGGUUUGACGUUUCGCAUUCUGAGGCCCAUGGGCCCUAUAAAUAGGGGUCUACCAGCGUCGAGGUCCCUCAUUUGCAUUCGUGAGUUUUUUCUUGGCAGCCGAGUGAUCCUUCGCCCACUGCUGAGUGUUGAGUGUCCUUUCGCCCACAGCUCUGAGAUCCGAGCGACUUCUCGCCCAUUCUUACUAGGUUCGGUCUCGUCCAUUUAUUUACAAGGUUAGUGAUGUCGACCGUGUCUCGGCCAACGUCUUCUUCGUCUGGCCAUUCUUCUCCUUCUCUCGGUCGCCCUCCCCGUUUUGAAAAGUCGUCGUCAUCUUCCUCUUCCUCUUUUUCCUCUUCUUCCACCUCCUCUGCCGAGCCUACCUCGGUUGGGGUGGCCGAGGUGUCGCCCCUGGUAGAGGUUGUAAGGGGGGAUGUCUCGGCCAACGCUAUUGAUCGAUCAGAUUCUCUUCUGAUGGAUAUCCCGGCUGAUGUUGUUGGUCGGUCGGGCUCUCCCCUGGCGGCUAUUCCUUUGGAGGACCUUAGCUGGGUGGAUCCUCGAGUAGUCGAGAUCUCGUCCCUCUAUGGGACCGAGUUGUCCGUGGCCAAGUUCUUGGCCCGUCAUCCGAUCUUAAAGGCGGAAGAGUAUUCGAGUUACUUCGACGUCUUGCCUUGUGGGGUGGCCGAAAGUGUGUGUAUGGGGCGGCCAGGUGUUGGUCCCCCAUUUUUUUAUAUGUAUGCCUGUUUUUUCAAAGACCUUUAUGUUUCUCUCCCUUUCGAUGAGUUUACGAUGGGCGUCCUUCGGACGCUUAACGUGGCUCCUACCCAGGUUCACCCGAAUACCUGGGCGUCCCUUCAGGCCUUUCGCCUGUUGUGUGACGUUAUGCGCCUUCAUCCCUCCCCCUCUUGUUUCCUUUCUUAUUAUAAGUCUCACCCCGCCCAAAAGGCUGCUUGGCAUUCUUUAGCCGGGCGGCCGGGUUUGGUGUUGUUUGACUCCUUCGCCCUCUCGUAUAAACGUUUCAAAGAGAGGUUUGUGAAGGUUGUCAUUCGUCCCGAGGCGACCCCCUUCUUUUUUGACUCGGUCGGUCGGUCGAGGUUCCCCCUAUACUGGACUCGGAAUCCCUGUGAUUUCAAGGAGUGGCCGAGGCCGACCGAGGGUGAGGACGAGUUGGGGGUUCUUGCCCUUUUUGAUGCCUUACCGAGGAAGCUUCCAUGCCGGGGGCUGAUCGGCGCGUAUACCAAGUCUGCGCCAUGGGCGGCCGUGAGGGGUAUGUGUUUAGGCUUGUCUAGGGCGGUCGAUCUCUUUUGACUUGCGUGUGAUCUAACUAUUAAUUUUGUUUUGCAGAAAUCAUGGUUAGCGAACGACCGGCGGCCGUUAGUGUACUCGACAAGCACCGCCAAAAAGCGGCCGAUCGCAGGGGCCGUCGGAGUUUAGAGGUGAUCCCUCCGCCGAGCGAUACAGGGGCGGCUGGUUCUUCUCACAAGUCCAAGGGGCCGGCCGGCCCCACCCACAAGUCCAAGAAACGUCCGAGGGACGUUAGCAACAUUGCCACCACCACCCGAUCUCCCGGGUCCAUGCCGACGCCCCCUCCUUCUCGGCGAGUAACAGCCGAGACAGUGACCAGCUCGCCCGGUCCUUUGGUGCGCGGGGCAGCCGGGCCAUCGGAAGUCAAUGCUCGGGCGACGCCCACGCCUUUCGACCUCUUGGGGGGUGGGUACCGAUUUUCUCGAAGAGUUCACGUCGCUCUUCCAGAUGAGGCCCGAGACUCCCUUCUAGACGUCUCUCCCUCGGACCUCCUAAAGAGUGGCUUUGAAUUGAUGUGCCGCUCGGUCGUCCUCUUUUAGAGUGGGCUUGUUGGCCGAGAGCGUCAGGCCGAGGAGGUGUCGGCCUUGGAGCACAAGCUGUCCGAGGCCAAUCAUGACUUGGAGCAAUCUUUGGCUACCAACACCAACCUAUCGGCCCUGAUUGCUACGGAGGCGGCCGAGAAGGAGUUGGCGCGGAAGGAGGCGGCCGAGGCAAAGCGUCAUCUGGAGGCAGAGAAGCUGAGGGCGGCUGCUGAGAUCGCCAACUUAAGAAAGUUGGUCGAAGAGAAGGACGGGCAGCUCUCUUCCUCGGCCACUGAGAUGGCCGCCCUUCAACUUGCCAAGGAGCAAGCCGAGGCCGAGCUUGAUGAAAAUUAUGAAGAGGCCGAGGAAUUGCUGAAGCAGUGCUUCGAAAGGGCCGUGCGUCAAGCGCAUGUGCUUUAUGGCGGACCGCCGGCCACUGGUGAGUUUGACCUGGAUUCUGAGGUCUACCAGGGUCGAUUAAUGCCAAGCGCUGAAGUGGCCGCCUUAACUGCUCAGGAAACUGAACUGGCCGGGACCGAGGAGGGGGAGGCCGAGGUUCGGGGUAAGGAGGUCGAGGCUGAGGAGGGUAGAUGCAUUAAUAUCCAGGAUUAGGUUUGCCUUUGGCCGGGUUGUGGCCUUUUCCUUUUUUAGCAUCCUCCGAGGCUGGGGCGCAGCCUUCUUAUUUUGUUUUGAUGUAUCGCCCGGUUCUUCUUCUUUAUCAAUAUAUCGUCCAUCUUUCCUUUUAUCAGUUUGACAUGCAAGUUAAACAAUCGGUCUGUCAUUUGUUAGGGUCGCCGGCCAUAGAUUGUGAAUGUUAAAUUCGGGCAAGUAAAAUAUGGGCGAUCGGCCAUCAAUCGCGAGUGUUAAAUUCGAGCAAUUUAAAAUAUGGGCGAUCGGCCAUCAAUUGCAAAUGUUAAAUUCGAGCAAUUAAAAUAUGGGCGAUCGGCCAUCAAUUGCGAAUGUUAAAUUCGAGCAAUUAAAAAUAUGGGCGAUCGGCCAUCAAUUGCGAAUGUUAAAUUCGAGCAAGUAAAAUAUGGGCGAUCGGCCAUCAAUUGCGAAUGUUAAAUUCGAGCAAUUAAAAAUAUGGGCGAUCGGCCAUCAAUUGCGAAUGUUAAAUUCGAGCAAUUAAAAAUAUGGGCGAUCGGCCAUCAAUUGCGAAUGUUAAAUUCGAGCAAGUAAAAUAUGGGCGAUCGGCCAUCAAUUGCGAAUGUUAAAUUCGAGCAAUAAAAAAUAUGGUCGAUCGACCGGCCGACACUUGCGAUGUUAUUCGAGCAAGUGGGCGUUCGGUAGGCCGGCACUUGCGAUGUUAAUUGAGCAAGUGGGCGUUCGGUAGGCCGGCACUUGCGAUGUUAAUCGAGCAAGUGGGCAUUCGGUAGGCCGGCACCUGCGAUGUUCGGUAGAGUAUUUCCAACACUUUGAUGAAAACGCCUCGUUAAAACCUCCCUGGUUGGAUGAGGAAAGAGUGCGUGUUUUUAUUGAUUUUAGCUGUAAUAGAACUUGAGGUGCGUGGCAUUCCACGUCCUCGGUACAAUUUUUCCUGAAAGCCAUUCUAGAUGAUAGGCUCCUCCUUGUGCGACUUCUCGGACUCGGAAAGGCCCCUCCCAGUUGGAUGAGAACUUCCCUUCAUUUUUUCUGGCGUCGCUACGCAUUCUCCAGACGAGAUCGCCCUUCUGGAAACAUCUCGGCCGGACUUUGGUGUUGUACCGUCUGGAUGCCCGGGCUUUGCAGGCAGCCUCUCGAAUCUUGCUUUUGUCACGCAUCUCACUUACCAGGUCGAGGUUGACCGCUAGGCUUUCCUCGUUUAGGGUGAGAUCGAACAUCUGCCGUCGUAUGGUGGGCUCGGCCACCUCAACUGGGAUCAUUGCCUCGGUUCCGUAUGUCAGGCUGUAGGGUGUUUCCUGUGUGGUAGUUUGGGGGGUGCACCUGUACGCUCAAAGUACCUCGAUCAGCUCUUCGGUCCAUCGGCCCUUUACUUUGCCCAGACGCUUCUUCAGCUCGUUGAGUAUGACCUUGUUGGCGGCCUCGGCCUGCCCAUUGGUUUGUGGGUGUUCCACCGAGGCCGUGAUGGACUUGAUGCCCAGGUCGUCAUAGAAGGACUGUAGGCCUCGAUCGAUGAACUGUCGGCCAUUGUCAGUUACUAUUGUGUGUGGGACGCCGAAUCGGCAGACUAUGCUCCUCCACACGAAGUUUUGUACAUUCUUCGCCGAGAUGGAGGCGAGGGGUUCGGCCUCGAUCCAUUUUGUGAAGUAGUCGACUCCCACCAGGAGGAAUUUGGUCUGCCUCUUCCCUGGGGAGAAUGGACCGAUAAUGUCAAUCCCCCACAUGGCGAACGGCCACGGGGAGAUGAUGCUGUGUAGUUCUUCCGGCUUGGUGUGGUGGAGGGGGCCGAACUCUUGGCACUUGGCGCAUUUCUUCACGUAUUCGGCACAGUCGCUCUGUACGGUCGGCCAGUAGUAGCCGGCUCUCAGGACCUUGGCGGCCAUCGUCCUCGCCCCAGCGUGAUUUCCGCAGAUUCCCUCAUGGAUCUCAGCCAGAAUGUACCCGGCCCUUUUAUUGGUGAUGCACUUUAGCAAGGGGGUCGAGUAGCCUCUCCGGUACAAAUCUUUGUUGAUCAUGGUGUACCGGGCGCAUUGUUGCUUCAUCGCCUUCUCCUGGUCGGCCGUGCACGUGCCGUCCGUCAGGUAUUGGAUGACGGGUGUCAUCCAACUGUCGGCCUCAGCCUCUUCUUCUUCUACAGCCAGACACUCGGCCUCGGCCUCCGUCACACUUGGGUGUCUCAGCCAUAUUUGUAUGACCGACCUCUGAUGGCUCUUCUUUUUGGUGACCGAGAGCUUGGACAGGAUGUCGGCCCUCUUGUUGUCCUCCCUCGGUAUGUGUUGCAAGGGUGCUUUGCUGAAGCGGGCGAUACUGUUUUUGGCCGCGUGGUAGUAUCGCUGUAGCAAAGGUUCUUUAACCUCGAAAUCUCCAUUGACUUGGCCGACCAUCACCUGGGAGUCGCUUUUGCAUGUAACCUCGCGUGCUCCCAUGUCGUAGGCUAGAUUCAGCCCGGCCAGCAAGGCCUCGUACUCGGCCUGGUUGUUGGUCGCCCGAAAUCCGAACUGGAGGGCUUGUUCCAGGAGGAGGUCGCCCGGCCCCUCCAGGACAACUCCCGCUCCACACGCUGUUUUAUUUGAGGAGUCGUCCACGUAGAGAGUCCAACCGGCCGAGAGGGUGGGCAGUGGUGUCAACUCGGCCGAGAAGUCGGCCAAGCAUUGAGACUUGAUGGCGCCCCUCGGCUCAUAACGUAUGUCGAACUCGGAGAGUUCGACCGACCAUCCUAUCAUCCUCCCUGCAAGGUCCGGUUUAGAUAAAAUUUUAAAAAUGGGGUAGUCGGUUCUUACAGUUAUUGAGUGAUUUUGGAAGUAGGGGCGCAUCCGUCUUGCCGUGAGGACGAGUGCGAGAGCCACCUUCUCAAUCAUCUGANNNNNNNNNNNNNNNNNNNNNNNNNNNNNNNNNNNNNNNNNNNNNNNNNNNNNNNNNNNNNNNNNNNNNNNNNNNNNNNNNNNNNNNNNNNNNNNNNNNNAUCGGGUCUCGGCCGAGUGGAGGGUUCGGCUCACAAAGUAUAUGGGUCGCUCCUCGCCCUCGGCUUCCUGCACUAGGGCAGCGCUGACUGCUUCUUCCGAGACUGCUAGAUAUACCAAGAUUGGGGUGUCGGGUCUCGGCUUCUGGAUGACGGCCGGGGAUGUGAGGAACUCCUUGAAUUUUUUGAAGAUUUCCUCGCAUUGGUCGUCCCAGACGAAUUUUUUGCCUUUUCGGAGCAACUGAACGAUCGGCCUCGUCCUCUCGGCCAGACGGGGGACAAAUCGAGAGAGGGCGGUCAGCCGCCCAAGGAGUUGUUGUACCUCCUUCACGGUGUUCGGGCUUCUCAUGCUGAGUAUGGCCUGGCAUUUGUCGGGGUUGGCCUCUAUCCCUCGGUGGGUUUGCAUGAAACCUAGGAACUUUCCUCCCUCUACCCCGAAAGUACAUUUUUCGGGGUUGAGUUUCAUGUUGACUCCCCUUAGAGCCUUGAAGACCUCGUCCAGAUCCUUCAGAUGUUGCUCGAACGAGUCGGACUUCACGACUAUGUCGUCCACAUAGACUUCUACCGCCCGGCCUAUCAGACCCUUGAAAAUUUUGUCCAUGAGACGCUGGUAGGUCGCCCCGGCGUUCUUGAGGCCGAACGGCAUGACCUCGUAGUAGUAGUUGGCAUCGGCCGUCAUGAAGGUCGUCUUCUCCUUGUCCCGCGGGUGCAUGCUUAUCUGGUUAUAGCCAGAGUAAGCGUCCAGGAAGCUCAUAAUUUUGUGGCCAGCCGCCCCAUCCACCAGGCGGUCAAUGUUCGGGAGGGGGUAGGUGUCCUUCGGACAUGCGCUGUUGAUGUUUCUGUAGUCGACGCACAUCCUCCAGUUACCGUUAGGCUUGGUAACCAUGACGACGUUGGCCAGCCAUGUCGUGUAUCGGGCCUCCCUUAUGAAUCCGGCCGACAGGAGCUUUCCGGCCUCCUCCUUCGCUGCGAGUCGUUUUUCGUCGCCCAAGUCCCUCUUCUUUUGGGAGAUCGGACGGGCUUCCUUAAAUAUGGACAAUGGGUGAUGACAUCCGGACUUACUCCCGGCAUGUCAGUCGGCGUCCAUGCGAACAUGUCGACAUUCUUUUUUAGCGCGACGUGCAUGACCUCGGCCUCGGCCGCCGCCAAGGCUGUCCCUACAGCCGUGCUGUGCUCUUCGUCGAGGAGGGGGACUCUCCUCAGCUCUUCUCUUGCGUCUAGCCUGUCCUCGGUUACCCGAGGAUCAAGGUCUACUAGUGCCACGGUUGGCUGGGCCUCCCUAGGCCGGUUCUUCCUGGGGGAGCGGUCCUUUCGGGAGGACUUUCUCGCCCGAAGGGGAGAGGUGUCUGCCCUUAGAGGCUCCACCCGGAGGCUCUCGGCGUAGCACUCUCGUGCUUCUUUCUGGUCCACGUGGACUGUGAGAAUGUCUCCUGUCUUCGAAGGAAAUUUCAUUGCGAGAUGAGGGGUUGAUACUAUGGCCAUCAGCCGGUUGAUGGAUGGUCGGCCGAGGAGGAUGUUGUAGGAGGUGUUGGCGUNNNNNNNNNNNNNNNNNNNNNNNNNNNNNNNNNNNNNNNNNNNNNNNNNNNNNNNNNNNNNNNNNNNNNNNNNNNNNNNNNNNNNNNNNNNNNNNNNNNNUUCGCCCGAGAAUCCUACCACGUGGUCGUCGUAUGGCAUCAUCUCGGCCUCGGUCAUUUUCAUGGCCUUGAAAGUUUUCCAGUAGAGGAUAUCUACCGAACUUCCUUGGUCUACGAGGGUCUUCCUUAUGGUGAAUCGAUCUAUGUCGACCGCUAUCACCAUCGGGUCGUCCUGCUGGCGGUAGUCUACGCCCUUGAAGUCAUCGUCCGUGAAUGUGAUGGGUGGCAUUCUCGGUCGGAACGCCACAGCGUCUACCUGAUGUACCGCCCGGAGAUGCUUCUUUCGGGCGUUGUUCGUGCUUCCUCCCCCGGCGAAGCCGCCGGCUAUAGUGUUGAUAACCUCUCGGUUACCUCUCCUAUCGGCCUCCUUGGGGGGAUCGUCUCUUCGAGGGGGAUCGGCCCUUGCGGGUUGUCGGUCGCCUCUGUUGUUUUGGUUUUCUCGGCCGCGCUGAGGUGACCUCGUCCGCCUGGGUGGAUCCGCCCGGCCUGGUGGGUCUCGGCCAUUCCUGAUGAACCGACGGAGAUGCCCAGCCUGGAUAAGUUCCUCUAUCUUGUCCUUAAGGGUCUGACACUCGUCGGUUGAGUGUCCGGUGUUCUGGUGGUACCGACACUGCUUCCUCCGGUCGGUGUUAUUUGGGCUGGCCACCUUCCUUGGGGGAGGGAUCAGCUCAGCGUUAAGGGUUUCGUCCAGAAUCCUUCCCCGCUCGACCGUUAGGGGUGUAUACCUCGAGAAACGGACUGGUCGGUCUCGGUUUUCCCGGCGCCGGUCAGUUCUCUGUAUCGGCCGCACCUGACGGUCCUUUUCUUCCUUCCUCUCUCCGCCGGCCUCGGCACGGGCCUGGUUGCGGAACUCUCUUAGUUCCUCCAGCUGCAUGUACUUAGCGGCUCUCUUUCUCAGCUCGUCCAGGCUGUCGGCCGGCUGCAUGCAUAGGUUGUCGGCAAAGGGCCCCGGGCGCAGGGCCGUCAGCAUGUGGUGCAUGGCGACAUCCGGACUCAGAUUUCGGAUGCUCAUCGCCACUUUACUGAACCUAUCCACGAAGGCUCUCAGCGACUCUCCCUUCUCCUGCCGGAUGCCUACCAGGGCGAUUGAGGUCAGAUGGUGCGGCCGGCUGGUCGCGAACUGUGUUUCGAACUUUGCGAUGAGCGUGGCAAAGCCAUCUAUGGAGUUGGGUGAGAGCUUGGUGAACCAACUAAGGGCUGCACCCUUCAAGGAUGUGGGGAACACUCGGCACAAGACGGCGUCGUCCGAGGUGUAGAGACUCAUAUGGGUGGUGUAGGCGUCCAUAUNNNNNNNNNNNNNNNNNNNNNNNNNNNNNNNNNNNNNNNNNNNNNNNNNNNNNNNNNNNNNNNNNNNNNNNNNNNNNNNNNNNNNNNNNNNNNNNNNNNNCUAAAUAUGCAUAGAAAAAAAACUAUAAGAAAACACACUAGGGAACAGCCUUUUCCAGAGAGGGGUUCACAAAAGUCCUACAAAAUAAUUGUGUCAUUUCCUUUUAAAAAAGUCAUAUUCAGGUUCUUGAAGAAAAAAAAUAAUUAAAAUCCUUGUAGAACCAAACUUGGCUCACUAUAAAUACACCGUUGUUGACUUUUGUAAUCACAAAGUAUUUGUAACUGAUAGAUAUUGUUUUGUUAUACUGCAAAAUAUGUUAUGAAUUGAAAAAUUCAAUUCAAAAUUCCAUUUUAAAAAUCAUAAAAGCAAAAGAAAAAAAAAUAGUUUCCUACACCAAUGGGAAAAACUACUGAUUAACAAUGCAUUAUCCAAAUUUGGUUCAUUCAGUUUCUAGAUACAACUUAGAAAUUUUAAAAUUAAUGAGUUCUAGUUUGGAUUACCUCCUUCAUUCGUUUUUCUCUUUUACAGCAAGUACUUGAUGAGAAGUUAAUUCAAAUUAGUUCUUACCUGUGAAGAUUAUUUUUUCCUACUUUAUUGGCUAUGUUUGCUCAUGUACCUUGUUAUUGCAGGUAUCUCUUCUGCUACUCUUAUGCUGAUAAUGUAGCACCCAAAGGAAAAUUUAUCGCUUUNNNNNNNNNNNNNNNNNNNNNNNNNNNNNNNNNNNNNNNNNNNNNNNNNNNNNNNNNNNNNNNNNNNNNNNNNNNNNNNNNNNNNNNNNNNNNNNNNNNNCCUGUAAAUGAGAUAUUCUAUGACAUGUAUGACAGGUUUUAACCCUGCAAUGAUCAUGAGGUUGAUGGUUGUUUCAUCUCUACUGUAAGUAUUGAGUAGAAUCUCUCACAAGCAUAUUUUAUUUUCUUUGGUUGUUUCUUAUUUCCAAACCAUUACGGCACUUGAUUGGGUUAUCUAAAGCACAGUCAUACAAACACAUUACAAAGUUGCUUGUUUUAUUUAACUUUCGUAAAUAUCCAAAAGUCUAUCACUGAUGAAUAUGGUCAGGACAUGUUGCAAUAAAGAAGAAUCAAAUGUUAUUUUGGUUUAAAUAAAGUAAUGAACAUCUCAUGUUCUGUAAAUUUACAAUUAGAAUCCAACGGUUUUCCCUGGUGUCCUUCAUGAUAAGUAUGAAAUCUUAUUACACUUCUUUUUCAGCAUUUAGAUGGAAUUUCUUUCCUUGUAUUUUUAUUUUUUUUAAAAAUUGUAAUAAUCUGAAAUUAAAUCCUUGCAGAGUUAUGAUCCUACACACACUUUGAAAUCACAGUUAAAGACGUGGUCAGAUGUACAGUAAAAUCACUGGAAAGGUUUGUAUUUUUUACUUAAUAUGCAAUUUACAUUACAUAUCUCAUCGCAUACUAUGACAAUUACAGAGUUUGAGAAUAAGAAAUAAAUAAAAAACUGGUAUAGCAAAACGACUAGGCCAAGAAAUUGAUAGAUCUCUCUAUCUCUAAUUGACUAAACUUAUAAUUUUUACUUUCUUUUGAUAAAAGGUAUCUUUCAUUUAGACAAAAAAGCUUGUGCUUGGAAUUUAACACUGAUUUCGUUGUUUUUACUCCUUAUUUAUGGUAUUACAUUUUCAAAAAUAAAGCUAAAUUUUAACCACAAUAUAGAAUGGUUCCUGCACUUGUAGAUUUAACCUAAAAAGCAUGUAUAGUGUUACCUCAUAUAACAUAGAAUUUCUAUACCUUUAGAGAACCUGAUACAAUAAUUUAGGUACGAUCUUGGAAUUUCGCAUUUGCAUGCACAAAAACAUUUAAGCUCCUGAGGUUUGGAGCACGGCAUAUGUCCUGAUGAUAGGNNNNNNNNNNNNNNNNNNNNNNNNNNNNNNNNNNNNNNNNNNNNNNNNNNNNNNNNNNNNNNNNNNNNNNNNNNNNNNNNNNNNNNNNNNNNNNNNNNNNUUCCCCCAGCUUCUUUCUCAUAUCUUUGUUCUCCCUGCGGAGAACUUGCAGCUCUUGCUCAUUUUCUCUGAGCGGCCUCCUCGGCCUUUCUUCGCAUCUCGGCCAUCUCCCUCUGGAGAGACAGCAGCAGCAUUGUUUGGUCGGCUUCAGUCAUUCUUUUCAUGCUUCUUGUCGAAACCAUCUACUUUUUUCCUUCAGCUAGUUUCCCUCGGCCCCACGGUGGGCGCCAAUUGUUCCUGCUAGGGAGAUGGGACCUAGAGAACUAUUGAAGUCUUCUUCUCCUUCCUUCGGUCGGGCAGGUGGCUGGGUGAUGAACUGGGAUCCUUCUCGUCCUCCUGCUUAUCCUUCGGCACUCGGGACUCGGUCGUCGGGUGAACACCGGAUGGUGGGAGUACCUGCGAAGGCACUCCGACGCUCAAGUCAGUAAAGCGGGUGGUUAGCUCUCAGGUAGGUGAACAGUAAUAAUGACAUACCUUACUCCUUGAAAUGCGUGCUAUUUAUAUUAUUCUAGUGGGCCUACCUUGUUGGGCCCGUUUAUCGAGGUGGAUACCGCUUAGGGUUGCAUUACCUAAUUCUUGAUGAUGGAUUAGCUUCACUGAUCUCGGUUUGAGCGUUAAUUGUAAUGGGGUUCGGCCAUCGGCCAAAUUCCCGUGGCCUUCGGCCGUUUCAGUUGAGUCUUCAACGGUCUUGGUCGCACGGCCAAGUCUCCAAAAGGUCUCGGCCUCUCGGUCUCUCGGCCAAGUUUCCAAAAGGUCUCGGCCUCUCGGCCAAGCUUCCAAAGAUCUCGGCCACUCGGCCAAGUCUUCAAAGGUCUUGGUCGCACGGCCAAGUCUCCAAAAGGUCUCGGCCUCUCGGCCAAGUUUCCAAAAGGUCUCGGCCUCUCGGCCUCUUGGUCAGGUUGACUAGGCAUCGGGCAGCCUCGCCCAGUACCGAUACACUUUCAUUAUACAUAUGUUGUUUCAGUGGUUGUUUCAGUGAUUUGUGUUGUUGGUGUUGUGUGAUGUUGCAGUAGGCUAAGUUCUGUGUAUUAUAAUAAAUUACUGGAGCAAGGUUGUGAAAGUAUUAUUUUUCUUUGUGUGAUGAUGCAGUAGGCUAAGUUCUGUGUGUUGUAAUAAAUUACUGGAACAAGGUUGUGUAAGUAUUAUUUUUCUUUGGGCUUGUAUCUAAAAAAAUAUCUCUCUUUAUAGGGAUUUUAAUAUAUACAUCAAAAGUUUACACCACAAAGUCCUGAUCACAAAUCUAACUAUAUCACUAUGACCCUGAUCUAAUAAAGACUAAUUCUAAAGAUAAAAACCUCACAUGCAAACUUAACUACAAGACAACCCUAACCAAAUCAAAACUAACUCAAAGGAAAAUGAGUCAAGAAUGAACUUACUCUAUCUAAGAUUCUGAUCGGACAAUCACUACAAAAAACAGUGUAAAAAAUGACGGUUUUAUUAUGGCGGUUAUUAAUAACCGUCACAAUUUUCAAUAUAAUAUGGCAUUUGACUAACCGCCACAAUUAUCUUUGUAUAAUACGUCAUUUCAGUAUAAUAUGUCAUUUUUAACUGUCGCAAUUAUCCUUCCAAAAAAAAAAGUUCCCCAGUUUUUUCUCUCUAUACACCAUUUCUCAUUAUUCCUUUUUUUUAAAUUUGCUUUCACUUUAAAAUUGGAUUUUUUUUUAAAAACUUACUUUUCCUUUAAAAUAUAUAUAUUUUUUUUAAAUUUGGUUUGAGUUUGGAAACCAAACCCUAACACCUCUUCCCUCUCUCUGCUCCACACCCCUAAGCCUCUUCCCUUUCUCUGCUUCACACGAAACGAAACCCUAACGCCUUUUUCAUCUGGUUGCUCCACACAAAACCCUAACGCCUUUGUCCUCUCACGAAACCCUAACGCCUCUGUCCUCUCACGAAACCCUAAUGUCUUUGUCCUCUUACGAAACCCUAAUGCCUUUGUCCUCUCACGGAACUAACGCUCACUCUCGGGUCCGCCAUCGCCACCUCCGCGCAAGGAUUCAGGUUUGUGCUUGCGCACCCUAAACUCUAUGGCUUUGUUGCUGUGAUGAAUUUACUGUGUUACUGUGUUCAUGUGAUGGUAGGAAUUUGUUGUUGUGAGAAGAACUUGCAUCAAUUAACAUCUAAGUGGAUUAACCAACAUCCGAAAACAAAUCACUGAUCCAGGUAGUCCCUUAACAAUACAUCUUUGUUAAUUUUACUUCCCCGUGCUCUCAAAACCUUAAAUGUUUGCUACGAGAUCUUCUUUCAUCUAUGAGCCACAAGCUAUGGAGUAUGCAGAGCUCAUUAAAAUUAUUUGGAACCACACUGGACGUGGCAACUGGGCAAUGGAUUGAAUAUUCAUCAGGAAUUGGAGCUGGUAGGUUAAUUACUUAUGAAAUUUGUAUCAAGAGCUUUUAUUUUAACUUUGAAGUUUUUUUGGGAGACAUUUUAAAAUAGUUAAUUUUGUCCUUACUAGUUAUUCUGUUCUCUUUCAGUUUUUGUAACUUGAUCAUUACCUUAGUUUGUGAUGGUAGGAAUUUGUUGCUAUGAGAAGUAGUUCAGGGUCGGAGAAGAACUUACAUCAAUUAACAUCUAAGUGGAUUAACCAACAUCCGAAAACAAAUCACUGAUCCAGGUAGUCCCUUGACAAUACAUUUUUGUUAAUUUUACUUCCCCGUGCUCUCAAAACCUUAAAUGUCUGCUACGAGAUCUUCUUUCAUCUAUGAGCCACAAGCUAUGGAGUAUGCAGAGCUCAUUAAAAUUAUUUGGAACCACACUGGACGUGGCAACUGGGCAAUGGAUUGAAUAUUCAUCAGGAAUUGGAGCUGGUAGGUUAAUUACUUAUGAAAUUUGUAUCAAGAGCUUUUAUUUUAACUUUGAAGUUUUUUUGGAGUCAUUUUAAAAUAGUUAAUUUUGUCCUUACUAGUUAUUCUAUUCUCUUUCAGUUUUUGUAACUUGAUCAUUACAUUAGUUUGUGUUGCUCAACUCCUGAGACAUGCUAAAUAGAAGAAUCGACGAUAUACAGAGCAAAAUGCUAUUCAGUACUCUUCAAAUAUGGGUUAAGGAAGCAAAAGUAGAGAGUAUUUAAUCACAAACAUUAUAUUAAAAGAGAAAAAUCAAUUUGACUUACUUUUUAAGUAUCUAUAAGCCUUUAUUUGAAUGUAUACUAAAUGCUCCUUAACCNNNNNNNNNNNNNNNNNNNNNNNNNNNNNNNNNNNNNNNNNNNNNNNNNNNNNNNNNNNNNNNNNNNNNNNNNNNNNNNNNNNNNNNNNNNNNNNNNNNNUUCUUGAUCUUUCUGUGGACUUGAGUGCCGCAAGUGCUGCAGAUGAAGAAUGAGAUUGCUUGAAACUAUAUAAUCAUGCCCAAGUUUUGAAAGAAAAGCUUUAAUCUAUUUAAAUUUAUUUUUUAGAUGAUUUAAUGGGAAGUCAACACAUCCUUGUUCCUUUUGCUCGAUGGAAUUUGUAUGACCCAUUUAUGACAGCAUUUUUUAAUUCAGACAAGAAGUUUGAUAUAUAUUCUUUGAUGAAAUAUAUUUUUUAAUAUUAUUUUGUAUUGUUAAUACUUAAUUUAGACUUUUGUUUGUACUUUGAAUUUUAAGAACUUUAAAAAAGGUAUUAUAUUUUUAAGUUUAGUGUCUUGAAGUUGAAAUAUUUAAUAUACUUAAAUAUUUAUUAUUGUCUUUUAUUUUAUUUUAUUAUGAAAAAAUAGUGGUUAAAUUUUAUAAUUGUAUAAAACAGAUUAUAAAUAAAAAAAAUUAUAAAAAAGUGGUGGUUAAAUUUUAUAAUUGUAUAAAACAAAUUAUAAAAAUGAUUAUAAAAAAGUGGUGGUUAAAUUUUAUUUAUUCAGAAUUAAAAUUAUGUCAGUUAAAAACCGUCACUACUUACACUAUGUUUAAAGUGGCGGGUGUUGCGGCAGGUAGCGUAAAACCGCCACAUUAAACUUUGUGGCGGUCAGUUCUAUGGCGGUUUGGGAAACUGUCACAAGUGUAAAUUGUGACGGUUAUAAACGUCAGUUUAUACGAAAAUAACCGCCACAAUAUACACUUUUUUUUGUAGUGAAUCUCGUAGAGUUCACUGUCAGGAGUCCAAUGGCAGACUCUGAUCAUCAAACUGAUGAGCGAGCAGGUUAGAAUGAGCAGUCUUGUAGAUCUCGCUGCCAAGAGUCUAAUGAUGGAUUCUUAUCGUCAAACAGAUGAGCGAGGAAAAUUUCUAGAGAAAUGGUGGUUAUUUUAAAAUGAAACCUGAAUAACUAAUUUUCUAUUUAUAUAAUUUUUUCACUUUAAUAAUAAAAAAUUAUUAGGUGUUCAUUUUAAUUGUACCAUUUCUACUCUAGGACUAUCUAUUUUUUUUCGGUAUUUACAUUUAUCUUAUUAUCUUUAAUCAUAAAGGGACAGUGACAUAAAUUAUCAUCUUAUUAUCUUUAGUUAUUUCUGAUAAUCUUUUAAUAAAAUGAUGCUUUUUUUUUCGUGUCUUACCUACUUUAAUUCUUUUACAAAGUUAUUUUUGAUAAUCUUGAACCUUAUUUUUUCUAAUAAAAUAUUAUAUUAUAAUAAUAAUUUUUUUUUUAAUUUCUUAUCUAGUUCACUUCCUGAAUAUUAAGAAACAAAGUUUUGUUCUUUCUCAUAAAAUAUUAUAUUAUAAUAAAAACUGUGUUUUAAUAAAAUUGAGAAUUAAUUUGAAAGAAAAUAACAAAAUUUUCACUGGUACUGGUAGCCACAAUUGUUCACUAGUAGCCGCACUUGUUGACUUGAAAGAAAGUUGUGUGGCAAUUUUGUUUGUUUUUUUUGUUUUGUUUGAUGCACCUCCUUUAGUAAUUUUGUCUUUUGAAAAAUGUUUCUUUGACAUUCUUUAAAAAAAUAACAUUAAUCUAACAAUCAUUUUAAGAGAUAAUAAUGUAUAUUCAGAUUUUAAAUUAAAAAGUAAAAUAAAUAUUAUUAUUUAAGAGUGUAAAGUGGGUGUUUUUUAUUUUGAGGGUGUUAAACUAGUAAUCACCAAUAAUAAUUUAAAUAUUACAAUAUUAUUUAAUUAUAUUAGACUUUUAAAAUUACAUCACAACAAACAAAAUACCUCCAAUUAUUUAUGAUACAAAAAAUAGCUCCAAGUAUUCAUUAGCUUCAAUUAGUAUUUGGAUAAAGAUUAGCUAUACUGAUUUCUUUAUAAUAUAAAUAUUAUAAUGUAAGAUGAAUUUUAUAUAAAAAUAUAUCUGUCUUCUUGUGAAUUAAAUAUUUUUAAGUAUAAUUUUUUUCAACAAUAAAAUAACACUAAAAGGUACACAAAAUGGAGAAAGGUUAAAAUAAUAGUUGAUUAUCAUAAAAUACAUCAAUUACAUAAAUUAUUUAUGUUUAAAUCAUAGUUGAUUAUAUAUAAAUAUAAUAAAUUGUAUUUAAAUAAAUAUAAUAAUUUUUUAUUUAUAAAUUAUGAUAUAAUGAAUAAUUAAAUUAAAUAUUAUAAUAAUAAAAAUGACAAAUAUGCAGUAGGGCAGCUUUUGUGUUAUAAUAAAUUCAGUAUUUUUAUAUAGAAUAAUGUUUGUUUAUAUACUAUUUUUUAUAAAUUUUGAAAAUAAAAAUUCAACUUAUUUAAUGUCUUCAAAUUUUAAAUAUUGCCAGUUUUAUUUUAUUUAAUAAGUUGGAAUUGAUGUAAGAAAUUUAUAUUUAUGAAUCCCAAGACAGGUCAAUUUCCUUCGGUUUAUAUGGGAUUUAGUUCUGGGCCAAUUUUGGUUACUGAUAUCUCUCACAACACAAAUCAUAUAGCUUUUAGGCUUCUUCUUCCUGCACCCCCACGUUUUUCUUCCUGCACCCCCACAAUUUUAAAUAUUCCAACAUUAACUUUCAUCUAUAAUUUCAAAAGGGACUACCGGAUAUCGGGAUCCAGUAAUAUAUUCUGGAUUCAUGAAUCCAAAAUUGAUUAAAUUCUGUUUUCUGGAUGAGGGGGUGUUCCGGAAGGUAAAAGGUCAUAAAUUGUUGUUUUCCGGAGUACUGAAUCCGGAAGCUUAAAUGCAUUAUGGAUUGGUGGAUCUGGAAUUGUUUUUUUGUGUUAUGGAUCACUUGCAUUAUGGAUUUAUGAAUCCAGAAUUAUUUUGUGUUAUGGAUUUCUGAAUCCGGAAUGGUAUUUUUGAAUUAUGGAUUGUUGGAUCCAAAAUAAUGUUUUUGACUUAUGGAUUCAUGAAUCCGAAAUGCAAUGAUUUUGUUUCAUUUUUUUUUUAUUUGUAGAAGCAUUAACAGUAUUGAUGAAUUUGAACAAGAAUUAUAUGAUGGGGUUGAUCUGUGGGAUGAUGAUGAUAUUGAGAAGUCAUUAUCCAUGUUCUUCAUGUUUUUCAUCUUCAUUAACAUGUCUUCUUCUAACAGAGGUUGUGGGACGUAAACGAAGUUUUAUACAUUGAAGAAAUGAUGGCCAUAAAAACACAAAUCCGGAUCCACAAAUUCGGAAGCUUCUCGGAUCCACAAAUUCGGAAUCUUCCUGGAAACACAAAUCCGGGAUUUUACUAGAAGCAAAAAUUUGAGAUUUUACCGUAUUUUGUGAUCCAAAAUUCUAUCAGAUUCUAUAAUCUGGAAUGGAAGAAAACACUUAUGGAAACAAAAAUCCAUAAAAAAAAAACGGAUGUGCAGAUCCGAAAGCAAAGAAAUUUACUUACCUUUGUCAAGAACACUCUAAAUCACCAACAAAAAAUGUGAGAUUGAAGGAGAAGAAUUUGGAGGUGUCGCAUUGCUGCUAGAACAUGAAAGUGUGCUGCUGCUGGAAGAUGAAAGACACGGCUGCGCAAGAGAGCAUCUUUGUCUGCACCUCUUUAAGGUUUUUUUAGGUUAAGAAUAUUUUUAGAAUUUUAAAAACUAAUAAGGGCGAUUUAAUCUUUUCAUAAGAGUACAGAGGUGCAGGAAGAAAUUAUAUUUUAUAAUGUACAAUCCAACAAUAUAAAAAAUAUAUUAUGAACUGUAUAUAUUAUAAUAUACCAGGUGUAUUUUAGAUAUAAAUUUUGAAAUACAUCUUUUGUAUUUUAGAUUAUAAGUGUAUUUCGAAAUUAUAAUUCUAAAUAUAAAAAAUUAUUCUAAAAUGUAUAAUUUGAAAUAUAUAAUUUUUUAAAUAUUUUGAUAUUUUUUUAAAUUAUUUUUGAACGUAAUUAAUUUGUUUUAAGAAGUCAUUUUUUGUAUUUUAAAUAUAAAUAAUUUGUUUAAUACAUAUUUCUUUUUAACAGUAAUAAUAUUUAUAUAAAGUAAACAUACUAAAUGAUGAUAAUAACUAAUAUAUUUUUAUCAAAUUUUCUAUAUAAUAUUAUUGUUAAAUUUAAAAUACAAGAUCUAUAUAACUAAAAACUGUUUAAGAAGUAGAAACAUUAAAAAAUUAUGUAAAUAAUGAAGAUUUUAAUAUUAUGGUUUUUAAAUUUUUAGGCUUAUUUUGGUAAUCAAAGAUUUAACUUGUCUAGGUAAUUUGUUUACAACCUCAAUGAUGAAUUAUACGUCGAAUUUCAAUAUGAUUACGUUUUUUUUGUAUUAAUACUUGUAGUGGUAAAGUUCUUCUUUCUUUUCUCGUUAAAUGAGAGUGUUUUCUUCAUCAGGUUGUGUUAAAAUUAAUACUGAUGGGGUUGUUAAGGGUAUCCUAGUAUUGCUACUUGUGGAUGUAUUUUUCGUGGGAGUAUAUGAGAAUUUUUUGGUGUUUUAUCUUAGUUUCUUGAAGUUCAAACUGCUAUGGUUACUGAGUUUUAUGGAGUUAUAAAUGUUAUGGAGAAAACUCAAAAGAUGAGGCUUACUAAUAUCUGACUUGAAUGUGAUUCUCAUAUUUUUUUCGUUUCAUGAAGGGAAUGUGUGUGCUGAUAAGUUGACUAAUUUAGGAUUUAUUCAUAAAGAAUCAUUUAAUUAGUAUAAUUGGCCUUCAUAUGUUCUUAAAAUUAUUUAUGAAUAGGUAUAGUCUACCUAUGUAUCUUUUUGUUAACAUAUGAGUUUUGAUAUAGUUUUCCAUAUUUUUGUAUUUUCAUUCUUUUUUUUUAUUUUUUAACAAUACCAUGAUAUGUAAGUUGUAUAAUGAUACCUAUCAUGAAAUUUUUUAUAAAAAAAUUAAUAAAUUAUAAUAUUUAAAAGUUAUUGUAAUUAUUUAUAUAAUAUGAUAACAUUUCUCUUUUAAAAUGUCGUUUUAUGAAGUAUGCCCUCUAGUAUGUUUUUCUUCCAUACCAUUUCUAUUAUUAUUGGACAACCUCCUUCACAAUACAACUCUACUUGAUGAUAUAAAAUAAGGAUACUCAGAAUGUCAAAUAAGAUUUUAUCAUGUUUUUAAAAAAUUUAAAAUUCACAGCAACAAAAAAUUUAAGUGAGAAAAAUGAAAAAGAUAACUUAACAUUUUUUUUAUCACUACUAGUGUGCAUAGAAUUACACAAAAGACUCUUAUUUUAUUUUUUUAUUUUUUAUCAGUUACUUUUUUUUAAUUUAACUAUGGUUUUAUUUAAUUUAUCUUUUUCUUACAGAUAAAAAUAAAAUAAAUAAUUUAUAAUCUAGUUCCUUAAAAAAUUAUUGUCACUUAUUGUUUAUAUUAAAAUAAACAAUUAAAAAAUCAAAUAAAAAUAUUAAACUAAAGAAAAUAUAAAUAUCAUAAUGUUUUAUUUAUAUAUAAAUCACACCAUCUGCUCAUGAAGCAAUAAAGUUGAUAUUGUGAAAACUUUUUCUUUUAACUAACAAUAAAUUACACUUUACACUAGUAAUGUUGUUUGUCACUAAUAAUAUUUUAAUAAAAUGAUGUUUUUUAUCUUACCUACUUUAAUUCUUUCUUGAAGAAGACCUAUUUUCACAAAGUUAUUUAUGAUAAUCUUGAACCUUAUUUUUUUAUAAUAAAAUAAUUUUUUUUAAUUUCUUACCUAGUCCACUUCCUGAAUUUUAAGAAACAAAGUUUUGUUCUUUCUCAUAAAAUAUUAUAUUAUAAUAAAAACUGUGUUUUAAUAAAAUUGAGAAUUAAUUUUAAAGAAAAUAACAAAAUUUUCACUAGUAGCCGUACUUGUUCACUUGAAAGAAAGUUGUGUGGCAAUUUUGUUUUUUUUGUUUGAUGCACCUUCUUUAGUAAUUUUGUGUUUGAAAAAUCUUUCUUUGACAUUCUUUAAAAAAAAUAACAUUCAUCUAACAAUCAUUUUAAGAUAUAAUAAUGUAUAUUCAGAUUUUAAAUUAAAAAAUAAAAUAAAUAUUAUUAAAAUAUUAUUAUUUAAGAGUGUAAAGUGGGUUUUUUUAUUUUUAUUUUGAGGGUGUUAAACUAAUAAUCACCAAUAAUAAUUUAAAUAGUACAAUAUUAUUUAAUUAUAUUAUACUUUUAAAAUUGCAUCACAACAAACAAAAUACCUCCAAUUAUAAUAUAGAUAUUACAAAUGUAAGAUGAAUUUUAUAUAAAAAUAUAUCCGUCUUCUUGUGAAUUAAAUAUUUUUAAAUAUAUACAUUUUUUUCAACAAUAAAAUAACACUGAAAGGUACAAACAAUUGAGAAAGAAAGUUUUAAAUUUAAAACAUAGUUGAUUAUCAUCAAUUACAUAAAUUAAUUAUGUUUAAAUCAUAGUUGAUUAUAUAUAAAUAUAAUUAAUUAUAUUUAAAUAAAUAAAAUAAUUUUUUAUUUUAAAAUUAUGAUCUAAUAAAUAAUUAAAAUAAAUAUUAUUAUAAUAAAAAUGACAAAUAUACAGUAGGGCAACUUUUGUGUGUUAUAAUAGAUUCAGUAUUUUUAUAUAGAAUAAUGUUUGUUUAUAUACUAUUUUUUAUAAAUUUUGUACAUAAAAAGUCAACUUAUUUAAUGUCUUCAAAUUUUAAAUAUUUCCUAUUUUAUUUUAUUUUAUUUAAUAAGUUGGAAUUGAUGUAAAAAAAUUAUAUUUAUGAAUCCCAGGUCAACUUCAGUUUAUGUGGGAUUUAAUUCUGGGUCAAUUUUGGUUACUGAUAUCUCUCACAAAACGGUUUCUUGCAUUCUUCUAACAAAUGUAUUUCUCUAAUCUAUCCUUUUUUAAGAAGACUAUUUUAUCCCUUUUAAAAGUGAUUUUUAGAUUAACUUUUCUUGAAAUAUUUUUAGAACAUAUUUUUUGGAAUACAUUUUGUGAAUUAUAGAUUUAUCAAUAAUAAUAAAAAUGUUCUAAAAGAUAUUUUAGUAUAACUUUUUGUCUUUUAGAUUUUUUAUUCUGAAAACACCUUCUGUUUAUAAAAUUUCAAUUCUUGGGAACACUUUUGCUUAUAGAAUUCUUAUUCCCAAAUCACCCAAAACAUAAAUUCGGUAUUUUGGGCUAUUUGCUCUUUUUUUUCUUGUGAGUUACUUCUACAUCCAAUAAUUUAAAACGAAACUCCUACAUAAUUUAAAAAUUUGUUUUUCUCAUCUUAAAAUUAUAUUUUAUAAUGUACAAUCCAACAGUAUAAAAAAUAUAUUGUGAACUGUAUAUAUUAUAAUAUAUCAGAUGUAUUUUAGAUUAUAAAUUUUGAAAUACAUCUUUUGUAUUUUAGUAUUUUAGAUUAUAAGUGUAUUUCGAAAUGUAUAAUUCUAAAUAUAAAAAAAAUAUUUUAAAAUGUAUAAUUUGAUAUAUACCAUUUUUAGAUUUUUUUUAAUAUUUUGAUAUUUUUAUAAUUAUUUUUUAACGUCACUAAUUUAUUUUAAGAAGUUAUUUUUAUAUUUUAAACAUAAAUAAUUUUUUUUUAUACAUAUUUCUUUUUAAUAGUAAUAAUAUUCAUUAAAGUAAACAUAAUAAAUGAUGAUAAUAUUUAAUAUAUUAUGAUCAAUUUCUUUUUUAUAAUAUCAUUGUUAAAUUUAAAAUUCAAAAUCUAUGUAAUUGAAAAACUGUCUAAAAAGUAUAAUCAUUAGAAAAAAAAUAUGUAAGUUGCGAAGGUUUUAAUAUUAUGGUGGUUUUAUGAAGUAUUUCUCCUUCAAAAUGUCCUUUUAUGAUGCGUUUUUCCUCUAUACCAUUUCUAUUUUUUUUUAAAGAGUAUUUUUUACCAAUUAUCUCCACAUUCCUCUUUCUCAAAAAUAAUUUUUCUUUGACCCUUUUAUCAUUUUUUUCUCUUUGAAAAUUUCACUAUUCUGAAAAUAUAGUUUCUUAAGAAAAUUUACAGCAAAACUUGUUAUGAUUUCACUUCUGUGCAUAUUCAACAUGGAUGUCCUUCGCAAUUUUGUAAGCAUGUGUUAGUAGCAAGUGGUGUUUAUAAUUUCCUAUAUGACAACAUUAUGUGCAUAAUCUUAUUCUAACUAGUUUAUACAUUCUAGUAUUUUCUUGAUAAACUACUUGUGUUUUGUCUCUAUUGAUGAUAAUAGUAUAUUCACGUCUAAGAUGAUUAUAUAUUAUAUGUUUUAGAAGUGCAUUAUGGUUGUUUUGAGAGAAUGAUUAUGUUAUAUGUUGUGUUAUGUUGACAUCUUGGUUAAAAUCAUGUUAAAUGUGAUUUUUUUUUAUUAUAUGUCUAAUUUAAUAAUAAUAAAUUAAUUUGAAAUAAAAUGAGUAUUAUUGUUUACAGAUUUAAAUUAAGUACUAUUUUGAAGGAAUGAAAUUGAAUAUUUAAUGGUCAAAAUAGUUGCUAAGAAAAAUAUUUUAUAUUCUACAUCUUUCUUCCCUAAGUAAUAAAUUUAUUAUUUAUUUCAAUUCUAAAAUAAAAUAUGAAAUAUUUAGUCAUAUUUAUAUAAAUAAAUUAUGACAUUUCCUUAAAAUUAUGAUGCAAGUUAAUAAUACGUUAUCUUAUACAAUUUCGUCAUUUAUGUUUACUGAUUAGGUAAGACAUGCAUGAAUUUUAUUUUGAAAAAUCUUAUCCAAGUCUGAUUUGAAACUGAAUUGAAAUUAAACCAAAUCCAUAUUUUUUAAAAAAAAAACUAAUUUGGAUUUUAUAUAAUUAAAUCUAAAUAAUUGAAUUGUACUCUAUUUUAAAUCCAUAUUUUCUAAAAUAAAGUUUGAAUGUUUAUAGUUUGAUACAUCCAAGUUUAAAAUUAUAUAUUAUUUUUCAACCAAAAAAUGAAAAAUUUUGUUGUCAUAGAUAAAUUGGAUUAUAUCCUUUAAGACUAAAAUGAAACCUAACAUUAUAUGUAAAUUAUCUAGAAAACAUUUAAGAUCAUCCUUACCAACUUAAAAUAAAACAAAAGUAAAAGCUUUGAUGACUUCUUACUACCAAAUGCACGCGUUAUCAGACGAUGUAAUAAUGUGUCCCUAAAGACGUAUAUAGAAUCCAAAAGGAACAGUUGAAUAUUCAAGUAAAAAAUUUGCUAAAUAUAAAAACAGAAUAAUGAAAUUGUUAUGAUGACAACAAUUAAGAAGAAAACAAAUCAAAGAGUUUUUGCUUCAAUUGGAAGAAUAGGGAUUGAGUUUGAUCUUUUUCACUCUUGUGUAUUUUGAUUAACAUUAUAACAUUUUGCUUAUUUUAUUGUUAUUGAUGCUCGUAUAAAAUUCAUUAUAUUGAUUACUCGCAUAUAAAAUUCUUAAAAUGUUUCCUAAAUAUCGAUUUCUCGCAUAUUUAUCAAAAAAAACUCAGUAUCAAGUUAGGUUGAUAACAAUUAACAUUUCAAAUCUAUUUCUAGCCCUCAAAAGCACGAAGUAUUCAUGUAUUAAUGUUUAGGUCAGAAUCAUAAAAAUACUUUCUAGACAGAUUUUAGAUUUUAGAUCAAUGCAUUAGGAGCAAAACAAUAAGACCAAUAAUCAAUGAAGAACAUAAUAAUAAUCAAUGCAUUAGGAGCCACACAUCUUCUAACACCUUCUAUUCUCUCAAUUGGGUUACAAGUUACUCAAUGAUGUUUUCCUCUCAAUCUUGCCCGCUAGGGUUGAGUCACAAACCCUAUAUUUAACCUAAUUUGCUAGGGUUAGGUGACUUCUUGCAUCGCAGUGAUUGACUCAUUUGAAACAUAAAAGGCCCAAUAUCUCUAGCAUUAUCUCGCUCAAGCGAGAUAUAGCUCACUUGAGCGAGAAAUGCGUCCAUUUUUUCCAAUGCCUUUGGAGCAUUCUCGCUCAAUCGAGAAUGAGCUCUCUGAGUGAGAUGCUUUGAUGCUGAGUUGCGCUUUUUGUGCUUUUGUGCGUUCGGGGCAUUCCAACUUUCUUCUUUUAGCUUAUAUUAUUUCUUUUAGCCUAGUUAUCUUCAUUUUUCCCUAAAAACCUGAAAUUAACACCAAAUUGGGAAACAAACGUUCUUAUUCAAAUAAAGAUCAUAAAAUAUGUAAAAAAAUGUAUAAAUUCAUAAAUUAUGGAUUAUUUUAUAUAUAAUUUAGCAAUUAAUACUCAUAAGUGUAUGUAUUUUAAUAUGAAAUAUUACUGAAACUAGACACUUAUCAAGCUUCUAAAGUAAAUAUAUUUGUUUUAUUUUCCUAGUCAUAAUUAAGUAUAUGUAAUUAGAGUGUAAAAUUUCAAUUAUUAUGAAAAUCCACACCUUUUAAAUAUGAUUCACAAAAGUAAAUUAACUUAAGUAUUCGAAUUAAUGCAUAGUACAACAAAAUAAAUAAAUAAAGUUAGGAAAUAAAAUGAAUGAAUAUUCAUAAUAGGAUUUUAAUCAAGUCCAUCAUAUCUUUAAUACUUUAAAUCACCAAUUUUUAUUAAUUAGUUUUUCUUUUUCUGUUGCAAGACAAAUAACUUCACCCAUCAUUUCCUAAAUUGAACUUCAUUGUAGUCCCAAGAGCCAAAUAAUAUGUAGAAUUUGACAUUUUAUAUCCAAAAUAAUAUUUAAUUUCAUACAUACCUCUUUUAUGCUAUUAAUUUGCAAUCACUUGACUUAGAUCUUAACAUUGACUCAUUUUGUAUAAUUCUAUAAAAUAUUCUUUAAAUAAUUAUUAAUUUAGUAUAAUCCUGAUUUAUUAUUUAUUCCAUUUAAAUUAUAUCAACUAAAUAAAGAAAAUGAAAGAAUACAUUCUUCAUAAAUUUUCCUUAAAUUCAUUUUUAUCUAUUACAUCAUCAUUAAUUAAUAAGUUAGAUUUGUGACAAGAGUUAGAUAUAGAAACUGACUAUGAUCCUAAAAGUUUAAAUUAAAUAAUCCUAAUUGUUUUGGAUUCACAACUAACAUAAAAAUUUAAACUAAAAUAGUUCUCUGAAGAAAUAUUAUAUUUCCUAUUAUAGGCUUAAUCUUUGCUUGUGCUAGGAUAAUUAUUGUGGUCUUUGAAUUAUGUCUUUCCAAUUAGUUAAAAAUGUUGUUGCAUAGGUAUCUCACAACCAAUUAUCCCACUUAUACAUUAAGAAAUAGUCAACCAAUUAUCUAAUAGACCAUCUAACAAGAAGACUAGAGUAAACAACAAUAAGAAUAUUGAGACAUCAACACAUAAGAAUUUAUCUUAGUUCAUCUGCAUCAAGUUUUCUUAAGCAACUGCUUAAUAACUUCCACUAACUAAAUCACUUGGUUACAACAAGUAUUCUUACCUUUUCGAGUUACAAUGAGUUUUAUCACAUCUUUAAAUUACAACAAACAUUUGCAUAUCUUCAAGUUACAAUGAGUAUUCGCAUCUUUUUAGGUUACACCUUCUAAACAUUUCCUUAAGAUUAAGAAUUCUCAAGAAAACAAAGAACACUCUCAAAAGAUAGCACAAACAAAGUUCACAAGUGUAUAGUUUCACACUGUGAAGAAUUACAAUGGUUUUAACACUCAACUCAAUAGACUAGACACUCUAACGGUUUGACUAAAGCUCAUUAGCUCUUGUAUUUUCAGCGUGAUUACUUGUAUAGCUUUUAUUCCUUCACUUACCAUUCUUUUGUUCUUUACCUUCAAUCACUUUAUAUAGCUUUUGAAAUUUGUCCUUUGAUAUUUGAAUUGGUUAAUUUUAAAUUUUGUAAUAUCUUCACAUCUUCAUCUUUUUGGUGCUAGACACUCAAAACAAAAAUCUUGAAUUUGCAAUCUUUUAAUUUGUUUUUGCUUUGAAUUUCUUUAAGAAACUAAUUCAAUAGUAUUUGCAACAUGGUUUAGUAAAAACAAAAUCAGAAAAUAUUUUUGCUAAAGAGAGAGUACUUUGAGAUUUUCAAUUUUUUUUCCUUUUUAAAAAAUAAUAUUUAGAGAUAUUCAUAAUAUAUCACAACUGAUUAAACUUGUCUAAGCAAGAUAUUUUUGAAAGAGAUAAUAAAGAUAUUUUUGUUUCCUAAAAACAUGUUAAUAUCUUAUUCCACAAAACUUGGAGAAUAAAAUCUUUUUUAUAUAUAAUAUCUCGUAGGUUGAACGCGCUUUUAGUACAUAUAUGGACUUAAAAGAUUUCAUUUUUCAUAAUUGACUGUUUUAAACAAACAUGUUACAUGUUCAACAUGUUCGUCAAACAGUCUAACACGAACUAAAUUGUAGAUGCUCAAUUGUUUAUUAUAUGUUACAGCUUUCACUAACAACAGUUAGAUCAUUUAAAUCAGAGAUAAAACAUAUCAUUCAAAUCACAAAUAAGAUAUUCAAUCUGAAUUUUGUUAUAUAUGUAAUAAACUACUCUUAUUAUAUCGUUUAUCAUGAAUACAUGGUGUAGGCACUUAGAGGAUCUACUGAAAGUUGUCAAUGUAGAAACAUUGUUUAGAACAUUCAAGAUAGAAGUGUCAGUUAGUUUUUAUUAUCAUAAAAACAUAAACUUUACUUAUAAUUUUCUAAUGUCUCAAAGUCUCAAUAUACCGUCUAAUGCAAUAGCAAUUUCUUCAAACUAUAUACCAAUUGCACUAAAAAAAAAUUGUAGAAAUAUUUACAUACCUCGUAUUGUCCUUGAUUCUUGAGGAUUUAACAUAACAAAUAUCAUUUCAAUCUACAAAUAUAUGUAAUCAUAAGUAGAUGUGCAUUAGGUAUAAAUAGUUAGAUUUUAAUUAUAAGUACAUAUGAUUGAAAUAUCAUACUCAACGUGUUAGUAAUGUUGUUUGUCUUUAUGCAUAUAGGAAUGUUGUUUGUCUUUAUGCAUAUAGGGGAGGUGAUAAGCAACAUUACAACAACAUUUCAAAUUACUUAAAAUGUCAAAUAAGAUUUUAUAAUGUUUCUAAUUUUUUUUUUAAAUUGACACCAACAAAAGAUUUAGUGAGAAAAAUGAAAAGAAUAACUUAACAAAUGGAUUAGAGGUUUUUUUAUCACUAAAAUAUUCUUAUCUUAUUUGUGUAUUUUUUUCAUAGAUCGAAUUUGAUCAUAGAUAGAUUUUUAUAAUUUACUAUAACCCAUUAUAUUGACUUAGUUCGUUAUUGUCACUGGUAUUGUUUAUAGUAAAAUAAAUAAUUCAAAAAAUCAAAUAAAAAAAGAAAGAAAAUAUAAAUAUCAUAAUAUUUUAUUUAUAUAUAAAAAUCACAUCAAUUAUUAGUUGUUGUGUGUUGUAAAUAAACAUGAACCUUUAUUGUGUGUUUGGACUAUGGAAGAAAGUGUGAGGAUUUGAAUAAGUGAAUUUUGAGUGAUUUGAGAGAAAAUCUUGAAGAAAGUUAGGUUCUUUGAAUUAAGGUAUAUAAACUGAAUUUGUAAGAAAAGUUUAUUAAAAUUUUGUGAGUGAUGUGAUGGGUGUGGGAGAAUUUUUAAUUUUUGUAAAAUAUUAGAAUGUAAGUUUACAAAUUUAUUCUAAUUUUUAAAAAUGAAUUUUUUUAAAAAAAAUUUAGUUAAUUAAAAAUUUGUAUACUUAUUUUUAUAUAUUAUAAAUAAUUUUUUAUUAUGAUUAGUUAUUUUUAUUUAUUUUUAUUAAUAAUAUUAUUAAAUAAAUUUAUUGCUUAAAUUUAUUUAAUAUUUAAUAUUUUUAUUUUUAUUAUAGAUACAUAUAAAAAUAUGCUUAUAAAAUUAAAAAUAAAAAUUAUUGAUAAUAUUAUUAUUUAAUAAAUUUAUUUUAAUUAUUAUUAAAUUUGUAAUUUAUAGUUUUUAUUAUUAUUUUUAAAAAUUCUUUUAAUUACUAUUAUUAUUUAUAAUUUUAUUACUUUGUAUAUAUUAUUACUAUUUUAAGUUUACGUAUAUUAUUAUUAUUAUUUUAUAAUUUUGUAUUAUUAAUUUAUUUUCUUUUAUUAUUAUUUUAUAAAUACGUUUAAACUAUUAUAAAAUACAUUUAAUUAUUAUAUAAAUACAUUUAUAUUAUUAUUAUAUAAAUAUAUUAUUUUAUUAUUAUUAGAUUAUAUUACAUAAGUUUUUUCAAAAUUCUUUGGUUUGAUUUUCUUCGUAUUGUUGUAUUGUUGCAUGGUGCUAUUUUUAUCUUCUCCCGCAAAUCAGCUUUUUUUUCUUCGUAUUGUUGCAUGUGCUAGGUUUCAUUUUUCACAUUUAAUUGGAAACAAAGUCAAAUCGGUGCCAUAUGAGAAUAGAAUCACUUUACAACCCUAAAUCUUAAAUCAUAAACCCUAAAAUAAUAAUAAUAAUAAUAAUAAUAAUAAUAAUAAUAAUAAUAAUAAUAAUAAUAAUAAUAAUAAUAAUAAUAAUGAUAAUAAUAAUAAUAAUAAUAAUGAUAAUGAUGGAUAAUGACAUGAUGAAUGGAUCUUUAAUUCUCUAAUAAUAAUAAUAAUAAUAAUAAUAAUAAUAAUAAUAAUAAUGAUGGUGGUGGAUAAUGACAUGAGGAAUGGAUCUUUAAUUCUCUCUAAUGGCAUCGUCAUAAACUUCAACCAACCCACCUCAAUUCUUGAAGAAGUUCUAUUUUCCACAAGGGCUUGACAUUUGAGACUUUCUAAUGGCACUGACAUAAAGUUAUUUCUGAUUUUAACCUUGUUUUUUCUAAUAAAUAUUAUAUUAUACUAAAAUAAUGAUUUUUUAGUUUCUUUCCUAGUUCAGUUCCUGAAUUUUAAGAUACAAAGUUUUAUUUUUUUCAUAAAAUAUUAUAUUAAAAAAUAACAUUAAUUUAACAAACCGUUUUAAAAUAUGAUAUGUAUAUUAGAAUUUUAAAUUAAAAAAUAAAACAAAUACUAUUAAAAUAUUAUUAUCUAAGAGUAUAUAUUACUAUUUACAUUUUUAUUUCCCCAUCUAGCACCUUUUUAUUUUUAUUUUCCUAUCUAGUACCAUUUUUAAUGUUUAAAAUAGUUAAUGAAUAAAGAAAUGAGUUUUUACAAAAUAAAAAUAAAAAAGUAAUAAAUUAAAAAUGUUUAGUUUAAUUUUUUUAAGAAUGAAGAAAAUAAAAAAAUUAACCCUACAAAAAUAUAAAAAUUGAAUUUAUAAACAUAAAUUGGUAUUUAUUUUUAUUAUUAUUGAUGAUGUAAUCAUGUUAAUUUUUUUCAAGUAAUAAUAUUGAAGAGUAUUGACCUGCAUACACUGGUCAAAUACUAUGCUCAUGAAAAGAACUUCAAAGGGGAGACCUAAGUCAAGUCGAAUAAGACUGAUAUGGACAUAAGAAAACAACAUGAUCGAACAAAAUAAUGUUCAUAUUGUCAAACACUAGACACACAAAAAGAACGUGGCCCAACAUUACUCGAUCGUCAAUGAAUGAUCAUCUCUCAUUUAUUUUCCUUUUAUGUUCAACAUAUACUUAUUUAGUAUCGUUUUAUAUCUCUUAUCUUUAUCUGGUUUUGUUUUGUUUUUAUUUUAUUUUUAAUAUCUUUUAUCUUUAUCUUAUUUUUUUUUUGCCUUUAUUUUAUAUCUUUUAUGUUUUUAGUUAUUAUUAUUUUUUCUGCCAUUCUUUAUUUAUUUCUAUUUUUUGUUUUUAUUUUUAUUGUUGCUGUUUUUAUUUUCUAUAUUUAUUUAUUUUUGCAUUUUUUUUUCUUCUCAUUUUUAUGCAUUAAGUAAAACAUUUGCAUUAAUUUUUUUUAGGGUUUUGCAUUAGGGUAGACACUUCAAUAUUAUCUGUGUUCACUACUAAUUAAUAAUAAUUGACUUUGGUUUUUUUUAUAAUUAUAUCCUGUAUUUUUUACUUGAAAUUAACAUGAUUACAUCAUCAAUAAUAAUAAAAAUAAAUACUAGUUUUCGUUUGUAGAUUCAACUUUUAUGUUGUUAUAGGGUUUUAUUUUUUAUUUUCUUCAUUCUUAAAAAAAUUAAACUAAACAUUUUUAAUUUAUUACUUUUUUAUUUUUAUUUUAUAAAAAAUUAUUUUUUUAUUCAUUAAUUAUAUUUAUAACUAUUUUAAACAUUAAAAAUAUUUAUUUUUUUAAUGUAUUUAGAAUUAAAAUUAUAUUUUUUUUAGUUUAUUAAUUUUUUUAUAUUUUUUUUACUUUUAAAAUGAUAUUAGAUAAAAAAAUAAAAACAAAAUGGUGUUAUAUAAAAAAAUAAAAAUAAAAGGAUGAUAAAUAAAAAAAAUAAAAAUAAAAAGGUGAUAAAUGAGAAAAUAAAAGUGUAAAUAACGGUGGAAAGUGACUUUUUGAGGAUAUUAAACUAAUAAUCAUACAAACAAAUGGCAAAGUUGUUGGACAGUGUAAGAGAUGUUGAUUUCUCUGCAUACACAAAAGUCAUGUCUGCAUUGCAGAUACAUGCAAAGUCUGUCCCGUCUACAUUUAAUUUUGAACAUAGAAUUCUUAACACAUUGAUACUUAUAAAUAGAGCGCUCUUCCUACAGAGCUCUAAAAAUAUUACCAUCUGUAAAGAAAAAUUUGGGAAGUGUAGAAAUGUGUGGGAGUGACAAAAAGAGGGUUUGUUCUUGUUCAUGUUCAAAGAAGAAGAAGAAGAUGAAGCAUGAAAAAAUACCUCUUCCUGAUCUCAAUUACCCUCCUCCUCCGGAUGACCACCACCGACAUUCAUCAUCAUCUUCUUCUCCUCCUCCUCCCAAUUACGAUAAGGUUCCACACUUCUCUCUGUAAAUAUAUGCCAUGUUUUCAUCUUACUUAGAUUCCAUUCAUUACUUAAUUAUAUCAGCUUCAGCUUCUGGGAGCUGCUCGUCAACACAGUCCUGCUGCUGCUGCUGCCUCUAGGAAGCGUAAAAUGGAAGAGAGUGAGAGUAGCUCUCACUGGAUCAAAGCAUGCUGGAACAAGAUCAUGAAUCAUAUAACAUCCAAUCCCAACAAGAAGAAGAGGGAUGAGCCAGCAAAGGAAGAAGAAGGAUGAGCUAGCACAAUAACUCUCUCAUUAUGCAUGUUGUUUCAGUAAUCGUUUCGUUCUUUCGUUUGUUUCCUUGGUGUUGUGUGUGAUGUUGCAGUAGGCAAAGUUGCUGUGUGUUAUAAUAAAUGCAGUGUUUUUAUAUACUCUCCUUUUAUAACUAUUUGUUAAGACUUUAUUGACUUUGUUGUGGGGCAAAUAUAUUAAAUAAAACUCAUCUUCAGUUUAUACUGGAGCAAGCAGAUUAUCUCAUAUCAAUUUUAUUGCUUUUAGUUUUGGUCUGUUUACUUUUUUCUUUUUUUUCUUGGGAGUUACUUUCUGCAUCCAAUAAUUUAAAACCAAACUUCUAUAUAAUUUGAAAAAUUCAUUUUUAUUAUUUUUAAAUUAUAUUCCAUAAUAUAUAAUACAAAAUAUAAUAAAAAAUAUAUUUUGGGUUGUAUAUAUCAGAAAAAAAAAAUUGUAUAUUUUAGAUUAUACAUCUUAAAAUAUAACUUUUUUAUUUUAGAUUGUAUUUCGGUAUGUUUCGAAAUGUACAAAUUGAAAUCUAAAAAAAUUUACUAAAAUUUAUAAUUUGAAAUAUAUUUUUUUUAGUUUUUUUAUAUUUUUUAUAAUUAAUUUUGAAAUGUAAUUAAUUUAUUUUAAAUAGUAUUUUUUUGUAUUUUAAACAUAAAUAAUUUGUUUAAUACAAAUAUUUUUUUUAAAUCAUAUAUAAUAUCUAAUAUAUUAAUGAUACAUAUUUUUACAAUAUCUUGGUAAAUUUAAAUACAAAAUUAAUGUAUAUUGGAAAACUUUUUAAGAAAGCGGUCCUCCUUGACGAUAAAAGAUGAAUUCCUCGUUGGAUCCAAUUUGUUGAACGAUUAUGAAGCUUUGAACAUCUGCCACUGCAAGAUGUUGACGAUGAUCAUCGUUGCGCUCAUCACGGCCAUGCUUUUUGGAUUCUGCAUUGCUCCAGUCAACGGCAGACGGAGGAGGAACAGAGCCGUCGGGUUCUUCCAUCCGUACACUAACGACGGCGGCGGCGGGGAGAGGGUGCUCUGGUGCGCCGUCAGAGGCAUCCAAGAGGAGAUCCCUGACCUUGACUGCUAUAUCUACACCGGCGAUCAUGACGCCACCCCUCAAUCGCUGAUGGCUCGAGCCCUCGAUCGCUUUGGGGUCACGCUCCUCUCUCCUCCAAAGGUACCUUCUUUUCUUAAUCUCUUAUCUGGGUUCUUAUUUUUUUCUGUUUUUGGAUUGUGGGGUUUUGUUCAUCUUUCGUUUUCAUUGUGACUUCGUAUAAUUUGAAGUGGGUUUUUCAGUUGUAGUAACGAUGAGAGAGUGGAAUAUUAUAGAAUGCUUUUCUGGGUUCGUAAGUGUAUACUUUGUGUAUUUUAGCAUAUUACUCAACCGUGGUUGUUAUUUUAUCUUUCAACUACUCCUCUUGUUGGUUCGGUUAUUACUGCACUCAUAACUCAUGAAUUUAAUGUACUUUAUUUUCUGCUAGAGAAUGAGUGGAUUAGGAUCAAUGGAUCUAAUUUUCCUUCUAUAAGCUCAGGUGAAGCAUUGAGUUUACUUCAAAGUCUUCACAACAUUGAUGAUGUAUUCUAUUUUGUUGGGUGGAUCAAACAACAGGACUUUCCCUAGUAUCACGACCGCAGCAAAGAAUUCUGAAGUAGUUUGGGGUUUAGGUGGAAGGAAAAUUAUGGGAAUAGAUUUGGUAAGCGUGUGGAUAAAGGGUUUGUCUGGGAUAGUCCAUCGUGGUCCCGUGGAUUAGAAAUAUGAAGUGAUCAGAGCUGUACUCUUGGAAGAAUGACUCAAAGAGGUGUUCUGUUUUAGUACAGUGGUGGACCAGAAGAUAUUUUAUGAAUGAACUGAACUAUGUUCAAAUUUACAUAGACGUUCUGUUUUUAUAUUCCCAGGUGAUUCUAGAAUUGUCUGGAGCCUCACGUUGCUCAAUCAAGCAUUUAUUGUUUUGCUAAAGUACCUAAAACACCAAUGAUGUAGAUUCUAAGGCUCAACUAUUUAAGCUCUCAGUUUACAAAUAAGGGCCUGAUUAUCUGGAAAAAAUAAAACAAGAGAGGCCAUUCCUGACAGCUUUGCUUGUUGUUGGACUAUUUUGAUGAUAGAAAAUACGGAAUACUGAAAGCCAAUACUCUUUAUUUACAACCAUAAGUUGCAAACUGAUCUCAGACCUUUGGCUCUUCUUGAACUGUAUUCCUCACUUUUAGGUGGAAGUGAGCCAGAGAAAGGCUGUAAAACAUGGAAUUGCUUGCUUAGCAGGUUUAGCAGACGAUAGGAAGGAGGGGAUGAGGGAUGAUUUAGCCAUGGAAUAAGAUAAUGUGAUGAUUAUAUAAAAUAAACUUAUAUUGUUGUAAUGGUAUGGUAAGCAGCAUUUAAUUUUUUGGCACCAAUUGUGCAAGAAUAUACUUGAUUUGUUUAAAAGCUUAAACCUGUUUAUCUUGUUAUCCUGGUUUUCAGGUGGUUCAUUUGUACAAGAGAAACUGGAUCGAAGAAACCACUUAUCCGCACUUUGCAAUGAUUGGUCAAAGCUUACUCCUUUAUAUUACUUUGACACAAGUGGAUAUGCUUUUACAUAUCCAUUUGCCUGGUUGUUUGGAUGUAAAGUUAUUUGCUAUACACCUUAUCCUACAAUCAGUUCAGACAUGCCAUCUCGUGUUCGUGAGCGCAGCUUGAUGUAUAAUAAUGAUGCCUUAAUUACAAAUAAGGUUUGACUUCUUCUAACUAUCGGAUUUGUACAUUUUGUUGCCACUUAUAGUCUAGUCAUACUUCACAAGCUUUCCUCACCUGUUAAAUGAUAUCAGUUAUGUCAUUUCAAUAUGCAAUAAAUUUGAAUAUUAUUCCCUAUCCAAUUUGUUUUGCGCCCAAGGUUAGAAGGGAAUCAAUCAUUUUAAAAGUAUUUUGGUAUAGAAAUUGGUAAAGUUGAAGCUUUUUCAUGUGAAUGGUCACCUUGGCAUGCUUCCCCAUACCCUUCAGUGCAUACACCCUUCUAUGCUAUAAUUUGCAUUAAAUUCACACUCUAUUUUGUCUCUUUCAUGUUUUAAGUAAUCUAACAGUUGUUUUUCUUUUCUUGCAGUGUUUGGCUUUCAAGAUGCAAGAUAGUCUAUUAUACAUUCUUCAGCUGCUUGUAUGGGAUUGCAGGAUCAUGUGCAGACCUGGCUAUGGUCAAUUCAUCUUGGACCAAAUCCCAUAUUGAAAAUCUUUGGAGAGUUCCAGAUUGUAUUAAGCGAGUUUAUCCUCCUUGUGAUACUUCUGGACUCCAGGUUUGCAAUUUGUUAUUUAUAGUCCUAGAAACGUUAUUAUAUUAUCUAGUUCAUGUUUUGCUUAUUUCUUUGGGUUGGGUGGAUAGCUUUCCUAUAUUGCUUGUUACUUUGUGGCACUGAAGUCUGUUAUGGUCUGUUUCUUCUAUGUUUCCUCCUGGUGUAGUAUGUGUAUCUUUACCAAAUGUUUAAAACAUGAAUUUAAUGUCAAGUCUCAAUACGAGGAUGAUACUAUGUGUGUUUGUGGUCUUUUUUACAUAGUUUGGUAAUCACCAAGGAAUUCUAACAGGUGAGCAAUAUAAACAGGUACUUCCCUUGGAAAGAUCAACAGAAAUUCCUGUAAUAAUAUCUGUUGCACAAUUUCGACCGGAGAAGGUGGGCAUAUUCCUAUCAAUCCUGUGAACAAAAGGUACAACCUUUUUAUGUGGCUCGUUUGAGCCUUUGUUGGUUAAAACCAAUUUGACAUUUUUUUCAUUCAAAUGCAGGCACACACUCUCUAACUACAGGCUUUUUCAGCUGCCAUUAAGAGAUUAGAUCCUACCUUGCCAAAAAAUGUUUAAUACCAUUUAGACUGCAAAAUUGGGUUAGAGGGAGCUAGCUCUAAACAACUAUUGACAAGUGUUUACGAAAUGGAAAGAGAAUUAUAGUAAAAACAGAGCAAAAGCUAAUGUUUCACUGAAGAAUCCAUAGAAAUUCUCUGCAAAAAACUGGGAUCUUGAUUGCCCUUGGUUAGCUAUGAUCCUAUUCCCAACAUGCUCAGCUCCUUACGUGGGAAAGGAUUUGUUGAAGUAUGCAGUAAUUGUGCACUACGUGCCAAGACUUCUGCGGAUCUACUUUUUAUUCAAAGAAGUAACAAGCACUUCUGGCAUAUUGACUGAGACAGCAUGGGCUGGAGCAGCUUACAAUCUUUUUCUCUACAUGCUAGCAAGUCAUGUGAGUUGAUUUUGUCACUUACGUUCAUAACACUUACCUAUGUUCCUAAUAAUCAUACUAUGUUUUAUGAGCAUCAACUACCAGGUGGUUGGAGCUUCUGGUAUCUGUUUUCAGUAGAAUCAAGGGUGAGGUGCUGGCGCAAGCAGCUGAAGAAUACUACUUUCUUUCAUGAAUCCUACCUUAGCUGUGAAUCUUACAAUUCUACUGUUCAAUCAUUUCUCAAUCACUCUUGCCCUAUCACUGAUCGACAAAACAUUGGAGACCUGGAAGCUUUCAAUUUUGGAAUGUUCAUAGAAGCUCUAAAGUCUCGAGUGGUAGAAUCAACUACUGAUUUUCAUCACAAGUUCUUCUACUGCUUUUGGUGGGGUUUGCGCAGUCUAAGGUAGGUCAAUAAUCUUUUCUACUGAUACUCUUGACUGCAUAUGCAACAUUCCCAUUUUAUAAACUUAGGAACUUAAUUUAAUCUACCUGUGUUCUUAAUUUUGUUCCCAACUUUUCUAUCUAAUUGCCUAUAGUUAGUGCAUGUUUAAUUUGAACCUCGGAUCAUAUCAAACAUAACUCAAGCUUAAAUCCGUGCAUCCAAAUCCAUGCAAGCUGAAAGCAUAGUACAACCUAAAGAUGGAGGCUAAAAGCAUGCAAAAGUCAUAUUUGUUUUGUGAUCUUUUGCAGUUCAGUUGGGCAAGGUCUCGAGACAAGUACUUAUGUAGGGGAGAUAAUCUUUGCUCUCUCCAUUGCUGUCUCUGGAUUGGUUCUAUUUGCAUCACUUAUUGGAAACAUGCAGGUAAUUCUAUGAGAUAAGAUAAUAGACAAGAGAAUAGAGUGAUCUUGUAUACAUUGGUGUAUUUACACCUCCCUAGUCAUGGAUACAGUGUAAUUCAUGAGUCUUUAUUUUUCAUUUUUUGCAAAUUAAAGGCCAAACAGACAAAGGGACAGAUUUUAAACCUUAUAGAGGAAACAAUUUUUUCAUGAAUUUUGAGUGUUAUAGAAGAGUUAGUUUCAUUCUCCCACCCUUGUCAUUUGUUGAAUUCAUGGAUUCGGUACUGUGUUGGUUAUUGUUGCAGAAAUAUCUACAAUCUCCCACUGUCAGAGUUGAAGAGAUGAGAAUCAAAAGGCAGAGAGAUUGUUGCGUGAAGCAGAAAAAAGGAUUCAAAAUUUGGAGAAAGAGGAAGGGUCCUCACCAAGCUUUGUAGCCACUGUAUAUACAUCAAGGUUUGCAUCAACUGCAUUGCGCCACCUGAGAAGUGGUAAACGCACCAGAGUGCCACAGGAAAAACUAGUUUCUUAAGAAAAUUUACAGCAAAACUUGUUGUGAUUUCACUUCUGUGCAUAUUCAACAUGCAUGUCCUUAGCAAUUUUGUCAGCAUAUGUAAGUAGCAAGUGGUGUUAAGGAUUUCUUAUAUGACAACAUUAUGUGCAUAAUCUUAUUCUAAUCAGUUUAUAUAUUCUAGUAUUUUCUUUGAUAAACUACCUUGUGUUUUGUCUCUG
rnacentral:lncRNA from 1 species